rnacentral:lncRNA from 1 species
CAAAGACAAACCUGUAACCCAUGGCAGAGUCAUUGAUCUAAGUGUCAUGGAAAGUAUCAACUGCAAGGUCAAGGAGCUCUUCGACUUCCCGGGGUGGAAAAGCUUUCUCUACCUGCCUCCUCCAAAGGUAUAUGAAUCCCUUGUUAAAAUGUUCUAUGCUAAUCUUCACUCUAACAAGCCUAGCAAGUUAGAAACCUUAGUUCUUGACAAAUGCAUUGUGUUGGGUUGUGCUCUGUUUGACUCUAUUUUGAGUGUAAGUGUUCUGGGUUCUCUAUGCUUUUUAAGAAUACCUGGCCUAAGGAUUUAGAUAUUUAUUAUCAAGCAAAAAGGUAUAUAGCUGAGUCACCCUCUGAUUCCCUCUACAGUCAAUUAGGACCCAAUGAUGUUUUCUUCGAAAAUCGUGUUCUAGCACAUAUUGUGGCAAUCAUUCUUCUCCUAAGAACAAUAUCCUUCUCUAUCUUUUCCCAACGUGAUACCUUCUUAUUCUACUAUCUUUUGACUAAACACAAGGUCAAAUUAUUCUCAUGGGUCAUCAAUUUCAUGAAAGAGAGUGCCGAUGAUCCCACGAGUCUUCCCUAUGGUAUGGUCAUUGCCUAUCUAUUAGAGGCCCACAACAUAUCUCUUUCCAACUAUCCUUAUGUCACUGUCACUAAGUCUUAUAACUUUAGAACAUUCGCUAGCAUGAGGUAUAUUGCAGUAAAGGGAACUUGGGUAAAGAAGCAAGAUGUUGAAGCCAUGAAUUCCCCCUUAGACUCAAAAGCAAAAACAUAUGCGUCUCUUCCCAGUACAGGUGAUCCUGAUCUCUUGAAAAAGUUAGCCUCCAUCAAUAACAAAUCGACUGUCAUCAAGGACUUUCUAACCUCUAUGCAAAGCACAAUUUAAGAUGUCCAUGGAGUGUUAAAGGAGACAGGCCCUGAUGUGUCCAAAAUCAGGAUGCAAAUUCUCAAGACUGCAGAAAAUGCAGUAAACACUUUAAAGGAGGUGCACGACAGGAUUGAUGGGAUCUCAGUCACAGUGAAUGCAAGCUUUGAAUUCCACAAGGAGGCUGUCUGCAAUACCCUUACAUACUUUCUGCAUCGAUGAUGCAUGGUUAUUUAAAACAAUUUCUUUUUGCUUCUUUUGGGACUGUUGUUUCAGUCAUGGAUUAUACUGUUAAGACAAUUACUUUUGCUCUUGCAUGCUGAAUUAGAUAACUAUAGACAGAUAUUACUAACUUUUUGUUGAUGCCAAAGGGUAAAAAGUAGCAGGUUCUUUGUCCUGUAUUCCUUGUAUUCUUGUGGUGGUUCUGUAUUUUCUUGUAGUUGUCCUGUGUCUCCAGGAAACUUACAGGUACAUCAUACAGUGCAAAAUUGAGGGGAAGUCGACUAUAACUAAUGCUUAACAUGAUGUCAAGCUGAGGGGGAAUCAACUAGACACAUCUGACAAGAAACACAAAUUGAGGGAGAGUGGACUACAACGAACGCAGAGUCGACUGUUAAACAGGGAAGUAAACGGGUGUUAUCAUAUUGUUAUUUUGUCAUCAUCAAAAAGGGUGAGAUUGUUAGCUCUACAUUUAUUUUAAUGAUAAAAAGUAACACAUCCUUUAUGUGCAGAAACACUCCUUGAGAAAUGAAAAGGAAGCAUCGAAGAUUUGAGACGAAAAAGGAAGGAGUAGCGAAAAUUCAAAGGCAAAAUCAAUCAAGGAUUUGGCAGAAGAUUAAGGGAGGAUAUUAUAGGAAGGACCUUAAUCAAAGUAAAUCAAGGUCAUGAAACUAUGCACUAAAGAUUCCUUUAUCAAAGGAACACAAUCAAAAGCAGGAAUCAAGGGAUCUGAUUUGAUACUUCAAAUAAAGGGAAUAUCUGCAUAGCAAAGGAAAAAUCCAAUCAAGACCACAAGUCAAGGUAAAUCAACAAAAGCAAUCUCUUAUUCUUGGAAAGAAUCAAUCUACGAUUCAUUUCUGAGAUCAACUCCCUUGGGUUUGGAAUCUCUCAAGAUUCACAAGACAAGAAGACCUCACAGAGCAUAAUUAUACAUUUGUACCGGCCUGGAAGAAAUAUACUUUGAUCGAACCACUAUCGAUCUUUUUGUUCUACUCCAAACAAGAAUUGUAGUCUAUUCUAGAUCUACUGUGUAACUAGGGAGAGAAGAAAGAGAGAGAAAUCACUAGUGAGGCAUUGUAUCGAGAAGCGAGAAAAGAAGUAAUGUAGUGACGAAGUUGUUGGUGUAUAACAAUACCAAUCCUCCUGUAUCAAGAAACUUCAAAUACUUGAAAGAGAGCACCUUUGAAACCCAUGGGGAUAGGACGUAGGAUUCACAUUGAAUCCGAACCAAUAUAAAAAUCCGGUGUCUUUAAUUCCUGCAUUUUUACUUAUGCUUUCAUUUAUAUUCUUUCUUUAUUUUCAGUUGACUAAUUAGUAAACUAGUAAACUGCUUAGGAUACAAAAAAAAGGAUAAUCGACAAUUCACCCCCCCCCGGUUCCAGGCCCUCUUUUAGAAAGAAAAUAAUGGUACAAAAAAAGGGCUUUCGCCUGCUUAGAAGUGGAUUCGAACCACCGACACAAGGAUUUUCAGUCCUUUACUCUAACCAGCUGAGCUACCUGAACUUCCCUACCAUCGGCCUAUCCGCUUCCAGAGCUUAUUCUUUAUCAACUACAAAUAGUACAAAGGAAAAGACAAGGCUGCUCGGUCAGGAAAGGGAAUAGGGCAAUAAAUAGAGCUUCAGCUCAGAAUUAGACCUUUUGUAGAUGGAACUUCAGACUUCUGGAUAGGCCUUUUCCGGGCAGGGAAGAGAAUAAAAAUGGACCGCAGAUGGUAGUCGUGGUUCCUAUGCAAACAGGGUUAAAAGCGGUAGAUAGCCUGGUUCCUAUAGGUCGUGGUCAACUGACAUAUACUUGUGCCCAAUGCAUGCAUCAUCAGAAGUGGCACACAAAAUAUUCUCAUCACUGAGGCCAUACAAAUUGAACAUUCCAGAAGCUUCUAGAGACCGGCGCCUGCCCUUACGAGGUAGUGAUGAGUUUCACGCGCUCUAAGCCUGGCCUGCGCGCGGUUAGGAAGAUUGGCCUCAAUCUGAGCGGUACCACACCGCCGCACCGAUCAUUCGGGGGGAGGCGGGAUACUGCGAGGUGGGGUCAAGGCAGUCUUUAAUCCAUAGAUACAUGCCCUUUUUAGAGCAUAUAAGAGGAGGUCGAAUUCCAAAUAUUUUCUCUCGAGUAUACCCAUUACCAAAAAAGAUUGUAGUUAUAAAGCUGCGCCCCCUAGAAUAAAAUAAAGAUAGAGCCAUCAUAGUAUUUUUUAACUCCACUACGAAGAAGUUUCGGAAGUUACGAAGGAAGCUUCGAGCUCAUAUUGGUCAUGAGGACUAUGCCAUUCUUGGCGACGGUGAUCGCCGUACUUGUGAUGGUUUCCAAGGAUCCAAUAUGACCACUUAGGUUAGGUCUUCACCCCCUUCUUUAGCGCUUGUUCGUUCUAUAAGACUUCCUUCUCGUUCUCGGUAAAGGAAUCGGAGCUGCUAUAGAAUCAGCAUCUUACUCUUUAACGACAAGCUCAGCAACGAGAAGUUUUUCUCUGCUGGAAAGCAUUUACUCGUCUGGGAAGCAAUCCUUAAACUCAUGUUCCUCCUUCAUAUCAUAUUAAAAAAAAAAAGUAAAAAACGACCAUCUCCAAAAGAUAUGCCUCAAUCUGUGGCAGAUCAUGGCUGAUCCCUCUAUGAUGGCAUUCUUCUUCCUCUCUGACUUUACGAUAUUAUUCUAGCAAAAGCUAGUGAUUAGCUGACAGUAUCUUAUCUAUUCAUUUUUUGGCGAUGUCCCGACACUGAUGAGCAUCACUUAGGCCUUCAUUCAUGAUACUCUGCUAGGAUCUGCAGCGCUUCAGUAGGCCCUACUUGUUAUAUACUAGUCAAUUAAAUAAAUCGGUUGAAUUGUUGUUCAUAUUGAAAGGAGUCGAGAUUGAUAAGGAGUUAUUUAAUGAUUCUCGAACAUGUACCCCCUAGAUUCAGAACUUUCUUUCAAUACUCACAAUCCUUAUUAAUCAAGGGGGGUAGCCGAGUCUGAGACACCAUAGCUGCCCCACCAUAUCAUUUUUGUAUUAUCUUAUUCUUCGAUUUCUAUUAGUACAUAUUUUUUCUCUUGGUUCGAUUAUUUUAUUUCUUAUUUUCAUUAGUCUCAACAUGGCUUCUUCACUUUUAUUUUUCUUCUUUAAAACUGCUGACAAAUAUUUUUCUUGUGCCAAGGGUCUUCAUUUCUUCACAUUCAUCUGUAGUAGGAUGGCAAAUGGGCGGGGCGGAUCGGAUAAGAGAGGGUCGAAAACGGAUAAUAUAAAAAGAAAUAAAUUAUUCGACCCGACCCAUAUGUAAUAUAGAUAAAAAAUAAGUUAACCAGCGGAUAAUAUGGAUAUUCAUAUUAUCCAUGGCUUCUUGAAUAUGAUCACCUUUGGGAGAAUUUAUAUUCUCCCAAACUUGAGGAACCCCCAAUUUGAGGCUUUACAAAUCUAAAGUUAAACCUAUUAGUUAACCAUUGGUUAUCCAUUUUCUAAGUGGAUAAUAUGGUUUUAAUCCAUAUUUGGCCCAUUUUUAAAAAGUUCAUUAUUCAACUCAUUUUUUAAUGGAUAAUAAAGGUGGAUAACUGUUUUCUUUUAACCACUUUGCCACCAUAAUCUGUACCAUUAAAAAUCAUCUCUUUUUGUCUUGAUAAAUUUGGGGGAAAUGCAAAACCUCAACCUACAUUAUUUAGGUGCGACUUUAAUUAAUGGUCAUUCCAUAAAGGGAGAUUUUGCAUCUAUACUCGGUUUUGAGAUCACAAUUGCAAAUAUACUUACAAUUUCAUAUGUAGUAGGAUGGCAAAUGGGCGGGGCGGAUCGGAUAAGAGAGGGUCGAAAACGGAUAAUACAAAAAGAAAUAAAUUAUUCGACCCGACCCAUAUUUAAUAUGGAUAAAAAAUAAGUUAACCAGCGGAUAAUAUGGAUAUUCAUAUUAUCCAUGGCUUCUUGAAUAUGAUCACCUUUAGGAGAAUUCAUAUUCUCCCAAACUUGAGGAACCCCCAAUUUGAGGCUUUACAAAUCUAAAGUUAAACCUAUUAGUUAACCAUUGGUUAUCCAUUUUCUAAGUGGAUAAUAUGGUUUUAAUCCAUAUUUUGCCCAUUUUUAAAAAGUUCAUUAUUCAACUCAUUUUUUAAUGGAUAAUAAAGGUGGAUAACUGUUUUCUUUUAACCACUUUACCACCAUAAUCUGUACCAUUAAAAAUCAUCUCUUUUUGUCUUGAUAAAUUUGGGGGAAAUGCAAAACCUCUACCUACAUUAUUUAGGUGCGACUUUAAUUAAUGGUCAUUCCAUAAAGGGAGAUUUUACAUCUAUACUCGGUUUUGGGAUCACAAUUGCAAAUAUACUCACUUUGCAAAAAUAUUUGCAAGCCUACCCACUUUAUGAUCAAUUUAGACUUAUCGGGUUUGAAAUUAAAAAAAAUUGUCUGAAGUGAAACAAAUUGCACUUCAGAUGCACUUAAGGCCAAAUAGGUCUGAAGUGCAACCAAUGGUCUCAUGUACUUGAGUAAAAAAUUGCACUUCAGAUGCGCUUAAGACCAAAAGGUCUGAAGUGCAACCAACAUUUUCAUGCACUUAAGGCCAAAUAGGCUUGAAGUGCAAAUUGUGCAGAAACAUAAAUUUAUUCUUCGAAUUAUAACAAUACAAUAUACCAUUUAAUACCUAAAUCUACUCCAAAUGAGCUCAAAUUUGAAACAUAACCUCAAAAUAUCAUCAACAACAAAUCUCAAUCAUCAAUAUGUCAAAACAACAAUAAAUCUAACGAACCCAUUUUGUAAUUAAGAAAAAGAAGAAGAAGAAACCCUAAGCAAUAGUAAAAAAUAAAGUGUCAUUACAGUUCACCACCGUAAAAUAUCAUAAACUACCUUAAAUAUGUUUACAAACACCAUAUAAAAUCAUUGUCACCCGAAGAAGAAGAAGAAGAAGAAGAAAGAGGAGAAAAAUGUCUGAAGUUAUUUAAAAAGUAGGUACAAGUUAAAAAUAAAAAUAAAAAAUGAGUAUAGAUUAAAUGGGGACAACCAAAUAGGACGUUCGUGUAAUUUUUACUCCGUAAAACCAGGAAAUCUAAUUUUGAGGUAAAGGAAAAUAAAACAAAGCCAUCGAUACGUCAAUUAUGGACACAAAUUACCAUAACAGCUGGGCUUCUUUUACUUCGCAUCAUUCAAAAUCUUUAAUUUUACUCAAGAUCAUUACAAGCACUCUACAGCUUAGUUUUUCAUUAUUCCAUUACUCAAGUUAGAUUGAAGAUUGAAAAAGCUGACUCUGAUGCCUAGUGCCUCCUUAUAACUAAGGAUUAGUGCUAAUAGGAUUGAUGUUACAACUCUCUCAUCACUGAUUCAUAAUCUUAACUACUUCCAUUCACUUUCUUGAAAUUUAAUCCAAAAUCAGUGCUAGUACAAGUCUCUACUAUCCCACUCUUUGCACCAGCUGGGCCAAGAAUGCUCAAAGUCCUAAACCACUUAUUCAGUUUCUAUUGGCUAAAACACAUUCUUAGCCACUUGUGAUUAGGGGUGGGCUAAUUUGUGCAAACUCGAAAUUUGAACCAAAUUUUGUAUUUUUUGGGUUUUUGCAUUUUGUACUUAGCCUUGCCCAUUAGACAUUAACUCACUACUCAUAUGUCCAAUAUUAUUUAAGUCAAAUACCCUGCCUAUUAAACGUUAGUUCAUAUAUCUAAUAAUUUUUAAUCAGCAAGUCACGAUCACAAUACAAUCUAUUUGGAUAUCAUUUUACUAUGUAAGGCUUAUUAGUUUUUAGGUCCUUCUGUUAUAUUUUCUUGAUAAUGAUUUCAUUGAUUGCAUUAAUAUACUUUAUUUGGAUAAUUGUGGCGGGAAUAAAAAACUAUUAGGACAAUUUGACAUGAAUACUUUAUUUGAAAAUUUAUUUUUGUAAUUAGAUCAAGAAGAUGCUCAAUUUAUAGGCUCACAAUAAAAAAUUUGAAAUAUGGAAUCAAUUAGUCUGAAACUAAACUUAAAGAAUCCGAUCAAACUGGAGCUUAUUUUGAUAAGAAUUGGAUUGUAAUUUUUUCAAUCCGAAAGCCUAAAAUCAAAACGAAAUUUUUAUAUCCAAUCUGAAUUACCCGAAUGCCCAUCCCUACUUGUGAUUUCAAGAAAUUUUAUUUAUUCUAUUUCUCCUCUAGGUAUCUAAUUUUAUAUAAAAGUUAAUAUAUGAAGACACAUGUAUAUGAACAAAAGUUAAUAUAUGAAGACACAUGUAUAUGAACUUGAAACAAAUUAACUAGUAUUAUCAACCCAAUUUUAACAAGUUAUGUGAAACUGAAAGCAAGUGACUACAUGAAUAUCACAAUGGUAGUCACAAAUUUUUACAAGUUUCAAACUUUAACAACUUAAUCAAGUGUCUGCCUAUUAGAGGUGAUUCUUGUACGAUAAAUUCAUCUAGACAAUAAAAGUGUUGAGUUUUGGGCAAGAAACUGUCUUUAUUCAAUUUGAUUCAUAUAUUCCAGGAAAACUUUUCUUUUUUCUGGAAAACAGAACAACUUGGUUACCAAGUAAAUGGCUAAUACAGCCCCAUGACUUGCAUUGUGCAAUUUGUGAUGAGAGCAAACUUCAUAUUUUGAAUGGUUACUGAGUCAGUAAACAUACAGAACACAAAGCAUCCCACGAUCACGUAGGGUCCGAGGAAAGACUGCAUCCAAACGGUGUGAUGUAAACAGCCUACCCUAGUGAUGCAAACAUUAGUGACUGCUUCCACAGCUCAAACCCGUGACUAUAGUAAAUUAGACAUACAGUAGGCAACAGAAAUCAACACUAAUGAUAAACCAAAAGGCUUCAUAAAUUAAGAUCAAGUUUCAAUUACAGAGAGACAACAACAAUUACAAAUAGAAACCUCAUAUACAAACAACAGCAAUGGCUAAAACAGUAAUCCAAUCUAAACUUUUGAUAAUGCACACUAGAGAAACAGGAAUAAAUAGAAUAAUAUAAAAAGAUAAGAGCAUCACUUUUCUUUGUCACUUGCUAUCUAAAAUACUUGUUCAGUAUGCACUCCACUGAGAAAGUUUAUGAAGAAGAAAAGCCAAUGUAUUAGGCCUUCUCUUCUUUGUUACUUGCUAUCUAAAAUACUUCCUUUCACAUCUCUAACUUUGUGGAUUAGAAUGCCUCCUUGGACCACGAGGAGAUGUCGAAAAAGACAAUCAUUUCUUGGCCGAAUUACCUGUUCCCUUCUCUGGCUUGAAACCCAAUGGACUUGGUAAAUGGAACUUGAUCAUCUUUGCUGAUUCUUUUACUGCCAUGUAACUAGGAACAUGUGGGAAUCUCGCGAGGCUUUCAUGAUCUCUAAUUGACGAUAUGCUAUGCCUCCUUCCACGAUCCGACUGAGCACUGGCAAUGCUUCUUGAGCCGCCAUCUACAUUACUACUUCUCCUUGGACUUGCUAGCCUUAUUCUCACUGGCUUUGGCCAAGGUAUUGAUGGUGAUUGGCUUUGUUUAUGAGCGGUUGGAGAAGGCACAUUGUCAAGGUGGAAAUCACGACGAGAUUGAUCAAAUUCACCAACAGAAGUGGCAUGGUUGGUUGGGAUUUUUGCGGUGUUAUGAACACUGUUAAAUUCUUUGUCAAAUGCACUUUUAUCUUCCCAUAGACGAGAAGCCAUCCGUCGCUCCAAACAACUCCAACCCCACUGGGGAUUAUUCGGGUCUGUGAAUGUCGGAUUUGUAGCUUUUGAAGGAUGCCUCUGUGUUUUCUGGUGUAAAAGUCUUGGAUAAUUAACAUCAUGUAACAAGAAAUAAGUUUUGCCAUAAAGUAACUUCAUUAGUCCACUGAAUGAAACUCCCCCGUCUCAAUUUAUGUGAAGGCGUUUGACUAGGCACGAAAUUUGAAACUUGCGAUCUAAAACAAGCCAUAAAAUUUUGUAUGGUUGUAAAUAAUCUCAUUCAGGGUAAAGUGAGUAUUUUAAUGUUAAAUAGUUUCUAAAUAAGGAAAUAUGACAUUUUUUUUGGGACAUGCUAAAAAGGAAACUAUGACACAUAAAUUGAGAUAGACGAAGUAGAUGUUUAUCAUAUGCCAAAUGAAAUGCAAGAAACGCCCAUUCCUCCCUCCACCAUAGAAACAUCAAAAAAACAUAGAGGAAAAAAGGAAGGUAAAUGUCCUAAGUUUUGUUCACAAGAGUAGAGACUUUACAAAUAUAUAAGUCCUACUAACGAGAUCUGUAUCAAAGCCACCCAAAGUCAAAAAACGAAUCUUUGCGCUUGUUAAGUGUCCUACAUUGGUCGAGGAAUAGGCUGUUGUCUCUUUAUAUGGUCUUGAGCAAUCUUUUUACUUAAGAAAAUAGAUGGUAAUACUUUGUUCAGUAAGACGAACCCCUUGUUAAAGCAUGAUGUGAAAGCACUACCUGAUGUGUGUAUGCAUAAGACAAAGCCCUUUCCCUUCUCAAGGCAGCCUCCUGCUUGCUUUGGAGGUUUGCUUCAACUUGUUCCCUUGACUGUGUGCUGUCAUUCCAAAUAUCCCCAAAUUUCUGCAAAAUGUAAAAUUGAGCCAAAGCCAAAAAGAAGAGGAAACUAUGAUAGUAGGUACUUACUAUCCAAAUGGAAGCAAAUAAUCAGAAAUAAGUGGAAUGAUCAAAGCAGCUUUCAAAGUUAAAACAAGUUGUCAUAGUAAUAGCAGAUGAUUUUGAGACAAGACAUAGAAAUCAAGGAUAUAUAUAUAUAACUAGAAACAAAUUAAAACAUAGAAAUGCAAUCUAUUCAGUUAGCGUUAAAAGGUGUACUCACAUAUGCUAUCAACUUCUCCUGCUCCUUCUCGUUCUUCUGUUGGAAGUGUCUCGGGAGAGCCAUGUUGUCCUCUAACAUUCUAAUUCUUCUGGUACGGGUCUCAGAUUGAACAUGAGCUAGGGUGUGCAUAUACCUUAAAGCGGAAGUGGUUUGCCGUUUGACAGAUUGCCCUUCAAUCAUUUUCUUCAACCUCACUAGUCCUUUCAAAGCCCUGAAUCCCCUCCUAGCCUGUAUAAAAUGAGGAACGUUAGUAUAACGUAUUCAUCUCAUGUGAGCUAUUUUAUUUGUUAUUAGAGCUCUAGAUAUCUGAAAGUUCAUAGUUUUCCGACAUUGAGAUUAAUUUAAAUAAUUUUAACAAACUUGUAGAGAUGUUGUACGAUUUCGAUUUAGAGAAGAGUGAAGACAAUAUAGGGAGCAGCACUAGCAAUUUCAAACGCUAAAGCUAAUCGACGUGUAAGCAAACCUUUCAACGCUCCUGGUAUUGUAUAAAAAAGGAAACAAAAACCACAGAAUUGAAAGGAAAGGAAAAAGGUACAAUCAUGUAGUUUUAGCCUGUCAACUGAUACAUCUGAAUAAUAUGUAAUUAUUUUAUACUAGGCAGAAUAGAUCAGGACCUUCCUGAACUUGACGACUUUUAUUCAGUACACACUUGAACUUUAUGUUGGCCUAAUUGCCCUCGUGAAGUUAGCAAUUUGAUAGCCUCGACCCCCCCUGGACGCUGAUAUGGCAAAGAGCGUGAAUACACACUCUAUUCUGCCUUAUUAGCUUAAAUUACAUUACUAGAUAGGUAUCUUACCAGAUAUCCACGAAAAGCUGUUUGUAUCUUGAUAGCUGCAAACUCUUCCUUUGAUUCACCUAGUUCACAGGCUGUAACAGCAGUAGCAAGCGCACCGGCGUAGGAAUGCUUGUUUUGCUCAUUCUCGGCUUCCACGAAUCUCAUCUGCUCUGUAGGAGGAGCAGCUGCAGGAUCAGUUGUUGUGGUAUGUGCACUGGAAGAAUCCCAGUCGGCGCUCUUCUGCUUUGGAAACCAUUUUCUAGAUUUUUGGUUUUGCUGGUGGAAAAGAAAUUUGCACGGUAUGUAAAGCAAUCCAAAAAUAACAUACCAAAAGCAGAAAUAAACUGGAAUUCAGAUCAUUCACUACCUUCUCUUUCUUCUUCUUCUUAGUACAAAGAACCAUUUUCACUGCAGAAAAGCAGCUUCCCUUUUUUCCCAUUCCUUAUCUAUGCAUCACAAAGCAAAAAAAACAAUCAAUCAGUCAACUAUGUUUUAAUCACAAACUAGUACGUGUUGGUUAAAUGAGUUCUUUGUAAGACAUUCCAGUGACAAAUUUAUGGUUAAGAAAAACCAAACUGAUUAGUGAAACCAGAAGACCUAGUUAAGCAAAUUAAAUAAAGCUAGCUGCUAAAAGUGAAAAGAAUGCAAAACAAUAACCAAUUAUCGCAAUCACAAAUACAUUGAUUGAGACUCAAAAACCAGCAUCUUACUAGAAACUUAAGUCCAUUCACAGCAGAGUCGGACCCAAGAUUUGAAGGUGGCGGGGCACAUGAGCGAACUACUAAACCAAUGCGACUUUUGAUUUUAACGGUUCCAAUCAAAAUAUAUGAUCGUUUUUAACAUAUAUAUACACCUAUAUAUUCAAAAACAAUUGUUGAGUUAACGAGGUACGGUGACUGCUAUUCCCGAGGCACAGGUCCGCCUCUGAUUCAAAGUUUCUUUGCACAACCAAGGGAUGAUUUUUUUUUUUAGCAAAUAACAUCUGAAGAACUAAAAGGUUCAGCAAAUUAUUUGAACCUCAAGUAACAAACAAUCAGAAUAUAAAUAAAUAAAUAAAAAGAGAGCAAAAAUGCCAUAACACCAACACCAAUAGAGACCGAGGGAGGCCAGAAAGUUUGUAUAAACAGAAUUAGACUCCACUAAUAACAAUUUAAGAAGAAAAAUGAGACGACUAUUUGAGAUAGAAAAUAUCCUCAGAAAUGGUUUUCUACAUAAAACCGAACCACAUUAAUCAAUAAUAUAGGGAAUAACUAAUUAUUAAAAAACAAACAUGAUCAUUCAUUGGAAAAAUGUCUACUUCACAUUAACCUUUCAUUAUAAGACAUCAGAAAAGCAAUAAGCCAAAAGCAUCAAGAAAACACAAAGCCAAAGAGGAAAGAAAAAAAUUCAUUGAUUCAUUCUAAAUAUACUCCACUUAAUAACUCAAUUCUAACAAAUACCUCUGCAAAGUUUUGUCUCUGUUCUCUUAACAAAAUAAUCUGCCUACAAAAGGACUCAACAAUGAAGUGUUAGAAUAUGAUUGUGAUGAAAACUUCAAACAUUUGGAAGUAGUGCCUUGUGAAUUGUAGACAAAACGAAAAAGAAAUGGACUUGUGGAAGAAGAAUAACAGACAUGGGGGGUAUUUUGGUAUUUUUAGUCUGCCGGCUUUGGAGUUAGUUAAACUGCAGAUAACUGACUUUCUGUCUUUCCCUUUUGGGGUUUGGAAAUUUAACAGCAAAUUUAGAUGAUGGUGUUUCAUAAUAGCACACAAAUAUAUAAAAGCCACAAAGUCAACGGUUGGGUUAGAGAAGGAAGAAGCAACUACAUUGUAUACAUGGUACUCAACUAUCUGAAAUUGGUGUUCAUGAUCUGCACUAGUAUUAAAAUACUUCAUCUAAUUUUCCAUUUGGAGAAGCACCUUUAAUUUAUAAAUCAAAAGUAUUAAACUCUACUAAAUUUGGAAGUACAAUGAAGUGAUGUGACACACUUACAUAACUUGCUCUACUCCUCUUCUUGGUAAACUAAAUUUCCUUUCUAUAAAUCUGUUUCCAAAAAUUAAUGCCUUAUAAUAAGUGAGUAUUAAAAUGAUAAUUCCAAUAAAAAAAUUUAACUAGAUAACAACUACUUUAGCUAAUCAAAGUGCAAACAAGUGACAGACAAGAAGAAUGGAACCAUAGGCUCCUAUGGCUUCCUUGGUCACAGCUUCUCACUUAGCUUAUUGCCAGACAACAAUGUAAAUCGACUCCUUACAUAGAAUGUUGAUCAACACAUUCAAUGAACCAACCAGUAUAAUUGACAAACUACUUUCUUGUUCUAAUACUGGAAGUUCCUCUAUCUGUCAGCAUACUCGUAGGCCUACGAGAUGGUGGUUCGAGCAAUGCUGGGAUCAGUGAAGAACAUAGUUGGUCCUUUGGUUGAAAGAUUUAGUUAUUUUUAAACCAGAAGCUUUUAUCAAGUCAACAGCAUUUUCAAAGACAAUUCACAUUUCAGCUAUCCUUGCUACAUAUAACAAAUGAGUUUGUUAAGAUUCAUGAAGCUGAUGUUUCCUCAGUUUUUGCUCGUUUCGGUGGAGGUGAACACAAGUUUCUAACAUCUGAGCCAUGAUCUUCACAAGUUUUCCUUUCCAGUAAGUUCCCUUCUUUGUUCUUGCCAUGUGUAAGCUCGCCUCCAGAACUUGAAGCAUCGUUUGAACAAACAGGAUCCUGCUCCAGUGCUUCUGAUUUGUCGUUGGAAGGAGAAUGCUUCGUCUCGGUGGAUGGUGAAGGAUGUUCAUCUGUUUUUAGUGAUGAUGAUACCUUUAGAUCUUUUCCCAUGUCUUUUGUCUUCUCAAACAUCAUUUCGAGGUAUUUACCCUGUUCUUCAAUCCGCAACUGUAACUUUCUUUGGAUCUGCAGAAAGGGAUAUGUUCUAAUUAUACAGAUACUUGAUAGAAUUUUUUUUUAAUAGCCAUACUUGAUAGGAAAUGUAAGUUAUGGAACAAGUAUAAUGAGAGGUGAUUAAGGACCCUAACCAAUCCAAAAGAGGUGAUCUAUUUUCUUCUGAUAACGAACUAGGACCUGUUUACACUAGAUUAAGUUGCAUAAUCAAGAGUUCAGUAAGGCACGGCCAUAGGGUUGCAUGGAAUUUUAUUCAAGAAAAUAUUAUGGUUUAACACCCCUCUGUGCUCUCUAAAACCUUCUCAUAGUUGAAAAGGAAGCUUGAAUUUGCCUAAUCCUUGGGUGGGCAUAGUUACCCGGUAUUUUGUGCUGAUGGGAAGUAGCAAGUACUCGGUAGAAUAGUCGAGGUGCACGUCAGCUAACCCGAGCACCACCAUUGUAAAGAAAAAUUGAAAGGAAGCUAGAAAGGUUCAUUUAAUCUGUACCUCUCCACACCAAGAUAAUAAAGGAACCACCUCAAAAUUUAUAGAGAAGCAUUCCUUUCAAUUUUGCACUACUAGCCACUGUGAUGGUAACUACCUAAGAUUUGACGUUUUCGUGAAAAUUAUCGAUGUCAACUUAGGGUAUGAUUUCAAGUAGUUUCACCCAGUAAAGCUUUUAACAAGUAACUACCAGCCACAGAUGUAAGAUCGAUAUUUGGUCAGCUGCUAUUAUCAGUAUGCCAUGGAUAAUUUAUCAGCUAAAACAAAAAAGGUACGGAAUGGAGUUAAUGACCAUGCCAUCAAAUUUUCAUUUUUAAUUUGAUGGAGUUGGAACUCGCCAAGUCUGAGGAUAAUUUUUAUAAUGUUAAACGAACUUCCACUAGUAUCUGACAUUAUACAGAUUACGGCGUACUUCUAAAAGCAGGAUACUACCUGAGGGGAUUGUUUAAUGUGGUAUGUUCUCCCUCAUUCCUGAAGUGAUUUACACUAGAGCAUUAUCAUAAUUUACAGGUUCGAAUACAUCGAGCUAUUGCUAAAAUAGUCAUAAACUUGAAUUUGCAUCUAUACACAUGUGCGUGCGAGUUUUUUCUGAAAGAGCAUUUAGCUGAGACAACUGUGAGAAAGUUGUAGGGAGCCAAAACUGUAAUAAAGAGAAGCUCUAAAGUCUCAGCAAAAUUAGUAUACUCGUUGAUUCUCUUUCCCCUCCUCAUGGAUAAUGUAAUUAUAUUCUCAAUUAUCCAGAAACUUUAACUUAUGAUUUGGCAAAUGACAUUAGGUGCAAGAAAAGCAAGAAUUAGAUAGAUGAGUAAUGCUGGAGCCUUUGAUCAUUUACAUACCUCAAGUUGUUCAUGAAGCUGCUUUUGGACUUCCAUUUGCAUUCUUAGCGCUUCUGUUAUCCCCAUAGUCCUAUAACCAGAAUCCAAAUAGAGUUUUAACAAUUGGUUACAACAGAAAAACAACUUCAAGAGCUAUCCAGGAAAUCAGAUUUGUGACCAGAAUUAAAUUAGAAUUUAACUGCUAUCAGAAUAACGCCCUAUGUUACACUUUAUGACCUUUUAUUGGAUGCUUCCUAAUGGAAAGACAUGGACAACCUUUUGCUUAUGUGAUAUCAUGUUUUAUGUUAUGCCCCACAAUGAACAGAUAUCCCAGAAGUUUGAUGGCUGCAUAACUAUAGAUACGCAUAGUGUGAGAGAAAAGACUUACGCUUUCAGGUCCAAAGAUGGCAUCUCUGUCACACUAGUGGGCUUCUUUUCCGGUAUUCCUGCAAUGAGCAGAUUACAAUCCAUUUUCAAUUUUUUCAUCUCUCAGAAACUAUGACAAUAUCCACUUGAGCAUCAGCAAAGUUAACUUAGUUUCUCCAAAUUUUAUUCACAAUCAGGCAUCGUUUUGACAUAUUCAGGAGAAAUUAGAGAGGCAGGAAACACAAGCAUGGCCCACACUUGCCAAUAGCUGAUAUAUGAAAUGCAUUUCAAUUCCCAAACAAGUACAUGAAUGUUACAUGAUACGACUCGCACGUUGAUGGAUGUAAAAGUUUAUCAGGAAAUCAGAGAGUAAUUUCUACCUUCCGAUGGUUCUGGUUUGUAUCUGGCAGUUCUAUAUUUCUGAAAUUCAAAACGAAAUACAUAUUGUAAAUAAAUUAUUACCCCUCACUGCAGUAGAGAAAAGUUAAUGAGGAGAGUUAUUAUACCUGCAAGUGGCUUUUGACAUGAUAGAUGGUUAGGCCUUCAACAUUCAUGAGCUUCAAGACACCCUUUGGUGUAGCUUCUGUAAAAUCAAGCCAUGAAUCAGAUAUAAUAAAGUUAACCUGAACUUUUACUCCUCCUAACCACUAAAAAACAGAAGAAGAAAAAAAGCUUUGAAACAAAGAGGGCACGCACUUUCGCUACCACCAAGCUUACUGACAGCUUCUACAAAGACUUCGUGAAGCUCAGGUGUCCAACGCAUACGAGAUUUCGUCAGCGCUGUGGAAGAUGACGGGCUACCAACUGGGCAACUUUGCCCGGAAGGUGCAAUUGGAGGAGGUUGGGGCUGAAAAGCGAGGACUUCAGAUGCUCCCAGCAGCUACAAAAAUUAGAAAUCAAAGCCAAAUAAAGCAGAAAGGAAACAAGGACAUAUAUAAUAUCAUGCUAAUAAUUGGAGUUAAUUGGAAAUAAAGGACUAAACCUAUGAAUGGUUUCGAAACUAGUCCCACUAAUAUGGUGGCCAAAGGGACCACUACCGAGACAGCUCAAAGAAGUGAAAUACACAUCUUUUUCACUUUUAAAGUCCUAAGUGUAUAUACACUCAAUCUAACUUAAACUUAAAUCUGUUUGUGUAACAACGAUUUUAAAUUUUAUUUCGUGUACAUAGAACACAAAGAGAGGAAUAGGCAGAACGACACUCCAAAGUACAAGAAUAUGCAUCUGGAAGGUUAAGCUUGGGAACCUAACACCUUUUGCUUUUGGCAAUGUUACCUUGCUAAAAGCGGGUGUCAACAAGCAGCUCCUACACAGCUCGACAUAACAGAGGAACAAAGUCAAGCAGCUCCUACACAGCUCGACAUAACAGAGGAACAAAGUAAUGAAAUGGAACAGAAGCACAAAGAAAGGGGAGUAAGAACGGGUUAUGACAAAAAAUGUUAAGAUGGAGCAAGAAGUGAACUAAAUCUACAUUCACUGCUGUCAGUUCAGGUCUAAGCUAAAUUAGCAUUUCUCAAGAAUAAGUCCAACAUCUGGCAGCAUGUAGCAUAAUAUUAUCAAGAAAAGAUGCCAUAAUUUUUCCGCUUGGGAACAUAAAUUGAGGACCAUAACCUCUAGUCAGCAUAGAAGCGCGUCAGAUACGGAACGUUAGCAUUAAAGGUUAAAGAACAAACCUUAGGUUCUGGAUCUAGAAGAUUGACAUCAACUAGGUGUUCAAUCCAGCUUGAACCCAAAGCAUCAUCGUUAAUUAGCUGAUCAGCCCAUUCCUGCCAAUCAGGUCUCUUAGUCUGGUCAUCAGAUGCCAUGACAACUGGAAGGUUUUCGACUUGGCCAUUCUGAACAGAAACAUUCGUAGGAAAAUCAGUCGAGUCAUGAUAUGCAUCUUUGCUCCAGGAAUUAUUGUUGUUUCUCAUGGGGUAAUUAUCCAAUGAUGCCGAACAUAGACUCGAGAGUGAAGAUUGGCAGGUUGUUGCAGAAACUUCACUUGAAAUAAAUGGAUAGCUACGUGGCCUACUUUCUUGAGAAGAGGUUGGAGAAAAGUGAAUAUCUUUGUGGGGUCCAGAAGUGGAAGAUAAUAGAUGCCCUACUGUUCCACCGUUAGAUGCUGAUGGGAUUGCCCGUGAGGAAAUGAGGUUUAUAGAUUGCUCCUUUUCUGUGAGCACAUGCAGAGAAUCUGGCAAUUUCAGAUACUUCUCUUCCGAUGACGGCAAAAUGGAUAAAGAUGUCGACAUAGCUCCAGAUAUACCCAUGUUAUUGUGCUGUGCUUCACUAGAUCUUUGAAUACAUAAUGCACGGCGCAUGUUCAUUUUUUUCCAUAAAUUGAUUUAAAAACUUUAAGAUUAACAAAACGGCUUCAACCAACUACUUUGCUUCUCUCAGUCAAAAGAUGAAUUCUAAAAUGACGGUUCUCAACCUUGUACACCGUAUAUCUGUGGCCAGAAAAGACAAAUCUUACAUCAGUGAAAUUGGAGUAUGACUGAAACUGAUGGAAAAAUUAUAAAAGUCACGUGUUUAUUAAUUAAAGAAUUUCACAUGCUUUACUCCAUUGGUCCCAAUCUAUUUAACAUAAAUUAACUUCUACGGACAAACUUUGAUAUCAUGAAUACUCGUUUUCUUUAAAAUUUAAGAUCUUCAGAACUCAAGGGCGUGUUUAUUUUAGACACAUAAUGAUGAACUCCUGUUAAGCAAAGUAACUAGUGCGACAACAAGAACUACAACUCUCAACUCCAAACUAGUCGUGAUCAGCUAUAUGAAUCCUCAAUAUCAAUUUCACUCUAGUUGGACCCUUUUUUACUUGUUACUACUCUACAUUGUUUACUGAUAUACAAAUCCUAAACAAGCAAGUUAACUAGUAACCUAGCCUAAAAUUAAAAAAAAAAAAAAAGAAGAAGAACUAUAAUUGUAACUAAACGAUCAAUAAUACCACCUUUCAAUAAUCAAUUAAUACCACCCACCUCCGUCAACAGAAAAGGAAAAUGAAGUUGCUCCACCCCACCCUCUACACAACCCCCCCCCCCCAAAAAAAAAACCCAAAUUACCAAUCAUCAUUUCUAUCGCCUAAAGAUCUCAACUUGGUUACUAAAAACCAAAAGAAAUAAACAGAAAGAAGGAGACAAAGAAUCAAGUUGAGCGAGCUCCCCAAGAAACAUAUGAUCAAACAAAAUCCGAACUUCAAAAGACCACCAAAAAAAGUCGCAAACUUUUUUUCUGAAAAUCAUCAACAACUCAGUUCGAUUAUCAAAUUCAAAUCAUACCAGCGCAACAGAAAAAAAAAAAUAGACUCUAUAAGCAAAAGAACAAAUUUUCCAAAAUUGGUCACAUACAUAGAGACAAAAGGAAACAGAAAACAAGAAUCUCUGAAACGAAAGCUAAAAUUCCACAUGGAGUUCAGGUAAAAGAUAAGAGUUGGACCUUAAAAUCCAAACUUCAAAAGCCUACAACAAAAAGUUGCAAACUUUUCUGAAAAUUACAAACAACCCAGUUCAAUUCAAUCAAAUUCGAAUCACACAAGCGCAAAACAAAUACUCCAUAAAAAAUAAAAAUAAAAUGAACCAACACAAUUUAAAGAUUGAUCACAUAAAUAGACACAACAUGAAAAAGAACAAAAGAAUCACUGAAGUAAACUAAAAUUCCAAAUGGGGUUGAGGUAAAAGAUAGAUUUGUACCUUAAAUCCAAAGAAUCCGUUUUGGGCAAUGGAGGAAUGGCGGACUAAGAGAAGGAAAAAAAGGAAAAGAACAAGACUUUGGAAAAUAUCCACGUAUAUGUUUUUUAAUAGAAAGAUUCUAAUUUCUCUCUCUGAUGACUUACCAAAAAGUAUUUGAGUGAAGGGAAUGAUUGAUUUUGAGAUGAUGAUGACGAUAAUAUGUGAAUGAUGUCAUCUCUUUUGUUUCGUGUCCGUGCCUCUCUCUCUACUCCAAUAUAGGGGUGUCAACAUACGCUUCAGCAACAACAAAAACAACAACCGAGUAUAAUGGCACACGACUUUUUCCUUCCAAAAAUUAUCCAUUUUAUUUUUAGGGUGACUUGAACUCACUAUCCACCUUGCUUCCUUACAUUUGGAGUGACACUCAAAUUCAGAACCUCUUUGUUAGACGUAGGGGUACUUACUAAUAGAGCAACUCAAUCUUGUAGGCAUCAACAUAGACUUGCGUGCGGCAAAUGGAAUUUAAUCUAACUCUAAAAGUUAUUUUUAUACAAUUAAAAUUUUAUUUUUAACGUGAAACAACAUCCUAGUAGUUUCUUUGUAAGGAAUUUUAAUAAAUCACUAAAGUCUAAUUAUCAUAUCUAAAAAUGUAAUACUUUCGUUGAGAGUGGAACUCAAGACAGGCUCCAAGAGCUUGUCGCUCUCUUAUUUCAAUUCAAAACAAUUGAUCUCUUGUUUCAGUACUGUUUAUCCGUAAAACGGUAUAGUUAAAUUUAUAGUGUGGUUUAUAGACAAACGAAUCGACUUGAUCCAAAAAUAAUAAAAAAAUAAAGACAAAAAUAAGAUUAACGGCUGAAAUUAAAGGAGAUGACAAGCCUGACUCUAAACUCAGUCUUUUCGAGAGCAAAAGUAAAAGCAAUGAUAAAGUUGUUUAGAUCGAGCCUAAAAUAGUAGAUUAUAGCUUGUGUGCAAAAUAUUUUGUGUGCUACAAUGGUUAUUAAUCUUGCUAUUUAUAGCCCCCACUUAGGGGGACAAGAUCCUAAAAUUAAGUUCCUCUUGAAUGAGAAUAAAAACGUCAUUGAUGGUGCAUAACGACUGGCUUUGAAUACAGAUAUUCUCUGUAACGGCUGCUCAUUAAAUGCUACCCGAUGUCAAACCUUCGAUUUUUAUUAUCGGCUAUGCUUCCUUCAGGAUCCAUCUAGUGCCAGUUACAUACUUCGCACCCAGUGCCAGUUAUUUGUUGACUCAUAUUUUGCUUGUCUUCGGUUUCACGUGUUACCUCGUCAUUUGACCACUUGUUAUCAACAAAUUACACCCCAUACAAGUACUAGAGGUGGAUUGCUAUAAAAUUUUAAUAUAGCUACGCGUUGUAAUUUUCUAAAAAUAUAACUACAAAUAAUAAAUACAUUGUGCAUAUUUGUUGUAUCGCAUAAUCCUUUCUCUUUUAACCAGAUGCAUAAAAGAAAGUUUUGCCAAAUUUUUAUAAAUUAUAAAUUAAAAAAUAAUCAAAAUUGCAUCUGAGAGGAUAAGAAAAUAUUUUUUCUUUCAUUGUGCCUUAUUUUACAUUAAGUUUGCAUAGUUCCAAGAGAUUAUUAUCUCAAAUGAUUAUGAAAACAAUUUUAAGCAAAUUAUUUCACAAAAAAUGUGAUUUAACUUUCAUUCAUUUUUUUAUAUCUUUUAUUCAUCAUGAAUUCAUGCUAUGAAUUAGACUCAUGUUUAUUUCAAUAUUUGAAAGAAGUUAUAUAUAAAAAAUGACAUGUAGUACAUAUUUAUUGAUUUUCAUAUAAGUAUAUUCUUCAAGUGACGAGACGCGAUGCGGAGUAAAUGCUAGGUUAGAAUUUUGAAGACAGGCGCUGGAGUCUAAGGGUUUCAAGUUGAGUAGGUCAAAAACAGAGUACUUGGAGUGCAAGUUUAGUGAUGGGAUGCAUGAAGCAGGAGUGGAAGUAAAGAUUGAUACUCAAGUCAUCCCAAACGAGAUAGUUUCAAGUACCUUGGGUAUAUUAUCCAAGGCAACUGUGAAAUUGACGAGGAUGUUAAUCAUUAUAUUAGAGCGAGGUGGAUGAAAUGGAAGCCCGCUUCAGGGUUUUUGUAUGAUAAAAAUAUGCCACCUGGACUUAAGGGCAAGUUCCACAGAGUGGUGGUUAGACCGACUAUGUUGUAUGGGGAUGAGUAUUGGCCCGUUAAGAAGUCUCAUGUCCAGAAGAUGAAAGUAGCUGAAAUGAGGAUGUUGAGAUGGAUGUGUGGACAUACCAGGAAAGAUAAGAUUAGGAAUGAAGUUAUUAAGGACAAGAUGGGAGUGACCUCUGUGGAGGACAAGUUGUGGGAAUCGAGGCUGAGAUGGUUCGGACAUGUAAAGAGGAGAUACAUAGAUGCUCCAGUCAGGAGGUGUGAGAGGUUGACCAUGACGGGUUUGAGAAAGGGUAGGAAUAGGCCAAAGAAGUAUUGAGGAGAGGUAAAUUAGGCAGGACAUAUUAUUGCUUUAGCUUGUCGAGGAUAUGAUACACGAUAGGAAGGUGUGGAGGUCGAGGAUUAGGGUUGGAGAUUGAUAGGUAGGAGUGUGUUUCUCCUAGGCUUACUAGUAGUAUUAGUACUAUUCUUGUAUUUUUUUUAUUCAUGGUUCUUUAUUAUUUACAUGUUGUGUCAUUCGCGUUUGUUACCACAGUACAUUAUUGUAACUAUUAUUUGUUGCUUGGUUUCUUGAGCCGAAUGCUUAUCGAAAAUAACUUUUUCUAUCUUUAUAAGAUAGUAGUAAGACCUGCAUGCACAUUAUGAUCUUUCCCAUACUCCAUUUAUGAUAUUACUAGAAUUUGUUGUUAUUGUUGUUAUAUUUUUCAAGUGAGUUUUCUUCUCGGUUUAUUAUGGACCAUUUAUUGGGAAUACGUUUUCGUUUGCUUGUGCAAGUUGGAAUUUGGUAAUUAGUGGUAACGAAUGGGAGUUAAAGAUUAUAAUAUUGUUUUUUUAUGUGUCAAUGGAGGGGCCCAGAUUAAAGUAGGCCUUCUAUAUAAUUUUGGGUCAUUAAAGUGGUCCACCACAAUUUUGUGGAAAUAUUUUAGAGUUACCUACUUACCUUCUUCUUCAUUAUUUUGAUCCUAAAGCUUGGAUUAUAAAUGGACAAAUUCACAAUCAUGAAGAGUAGGGCAUGGGGUGGUGCAAGUCGGGUAGUUAUAUAUUUGGCAGUUCUGUCAAAAAUAUUAACAGCUACUAGCUAAAAUACAUAGAUUAUAUAUUUAUUAUACACGGCAAUAUGUAUACUAUUAUUAGCGUGUAAACAUCAAGUAUGAUUAAAUUUUCGCAAUCAAACAUGAGAUAAGCUGCUAACCCCUCAAGUACGAAACAUAAAUCAAAUUAUUCUCUACCCAAACAUGCCCCUGUAUAUAAUAUAAAACAAAUAUUAGUCCAGAAGAAAAUAAUGGGGGAAAGGGAGCACCAAAUGCAUAUUCUUUCAUCGUCGCUUCUACUUUAUUUAUAUUUAUAUAUGUUAGGUCAGAACAAAAACACUCUUUCUUUGUCGUUUUUCCUUUAUAUGUUAGGUGAUGUAGUCAAGAAAAAAUGAUUGUGGUGCUUUUGGGACACCUUAGAAAAGCAUUAGACUAGUGUUUUUAAAAAAAAAUGGAACUCACUGAUUCUAGAGAUGUCCUACCUUUCACUAAUUAAUACUACUUAGUCAUCUUAAUUCCUAUCCAUCUUUUUAAUUUUUCCUUCAUGGUUAGAAGCAGAAGUCAUCUUAUCCAUCUUUUUAUUCUUUUGGGGUGGGGCUGGGGUAGAAAUGUUCAAAAAUUCAAGAUUAAUUGGGGAUAAUAAAUUCAAGGUUCAGCUAAUGCCAGCGAGACCUUCCAGAGAUUCUAUUAUGAAGAAUUAACCUAAAUAGCUACUCACUUAACCGAUGAAACUAAUAAUAACCGAAAUAUUCAUAAAUAUGUAUGUAUAACCGUGUGUAAUUUCUAUAUAAUUUAUGUAUACCGGCCAUUUGUCCAAAGAUCUAUUUCCUGAUUACGCUGGUUUAAAUGCUUAUUGAAAUAUAAGAUGGUUAUGAUCCUACAUCCCCUUUUUGGAUAAUAAACUUAAUAUAUGGCCCAACAAGUUCAUGGGCUAGUUAAAUGGGUCUCACAGGCCCAUCUCUAAGUCCAGUUGUUUAAAAGGAAUGUUACUCAAAUAGCCGGUCAGAUUCAAUGUUUAUUUUUUCUAGCCGGUAUACAUACAUUAUACAUUGAUUAUAUGUAUAUUAUACAUGAAUUGUACAUAUAUUAUAUAUUCACCGACUAUUUAUAGUUUAAGAAAUUAGGUGGAUGGCUAUAUGGGUUAAUUCUUCUUGUUUUAAACCAAUACACUAUAGUAUUAUUUCAUGAAGGGGACUAGUACGGUAUGUCCUUUCUUGAGAACAUUAGACUAAAUCAGAUUUCUGCCGCAUACAACAAUAACAAACUCAGUGUAAUCUCAAAUUUUAAAAUUUGGGAAAGGUAGUGUGUACGUUGACCUUACCCCUACAUUGAGAAGAUAGAAAGGCUGUUUCGGAUAGACCUCGGCUCAAGAAAAUUAGAUUCCCACCACAUAUGAUCCAUUUAUAGUGAAAGCGCUCCGGAAUUUCUUCAAGUCAAGAUCUAUUACAUAAUGAAAGGACUAAAAUCUACCAAAUAGGGAUGAUUUUAAGUUCUAUGAGAUGACAUUGAAAAAAUAUUUAUAUCAUCAUAUCAUUUAUGAGAUAAUUAUAGAUAAAUUUUUAUGAUAAGAACUAAUUAAUAAUCAAAUAAAAUAAUAGUAACUAACCUGUAAUCACAUAUUAAAUUAUACACGAAAAAGAAUACUUAUAUUGUAUAUAAGUUAAAUCCAAAUAUUCUACUGAAAAUGGUAUAGUGAAAGACUCCUGGAAAUAGACCUUAAACUAGCUAGUCAAACCUAACAUAGAAAAUGAGUUCCUAACAGAACUUCUAUUAUGCUGUACUUGCAGCAUAUUUACUCCAAACAAGCCAAAAAGUUAGAUAGGAUUAGGCACGACAAAGUAAAAAGAAGAAAACUUCUAUAAGAAAAACAACACAAAUUUCAAUCUUAGUGUGCCGUAUUUUACACCGUAGUAUUUCUCUACAUAUUGAACAGUUCUGGUUAAUGGUUUUCUGAUAGCAAUCAUUAUUCACAAUUUACCAAAUGGGAUGUUCAUCUUCAACUCCCUUAGCUUACCUUCACAAUCAGUUCCUUCUGAAAAUUUUCUUGUUUAGCUUGAUGUUAUUAACUGCUAACACCAAUACCAUAGACUUACAUCACUUAGUUUUCACAACUUGUACUGCAAAUCAAACAUUCCAAAAUGAUCUUGCAAUUUCUAGCUCAUUAUCAAAGUUAUCUAUUGUUUCAUCUCUUUUCCAAGAAUUUCUUGAUAAGUCCUCAGAAUCCAAGUUUUUUGAGACUUAUGCAGGGGAUGAUAGAAUAACCAUUUUGGGAUUAUUUCAGUGCAGAAAUGACCUUAACCAUGAUCAAUGUCAUACUUGUACUAAUAAACUUGUUGAUAUUUCACGUAAUUUUUGUGGAGAAAGAAUACCUGCUAGAGUUCAACUUUCUGGUUGCUAUUUGGAUUACAAGGCAGAGGAAGAGAGGGAGGUUUCUAAACUAUUGAUGCUUCAUAAGGUAUACAUAAAGAUGAUAAAUGAGUGAGUUGGUUCAAAUUUUGCGCGGGUCAAAACGGAUUAAAUCAGUAAACAGUUAUGAUCCUAUCGAGAAAAUAACACGUAUUGCCUUUUCUUAGGCUACACUUUAAAUUUUAUCCUCGUAGUCCGUGGACUAAAUUUUGCCUUUAAAAGCAAAUUUGUAGAUAAAUUUAGUCCAUGGGACUAACGGGGACAAAAUUUAAAUAGUUGCCUCCAAAAAGGCUAUUUGUUCAAAUGUCCCCACCCAGCUUGCGCAAAGUUAGCUUAGUUAAAGAUAUGUUGGGUCAAGAUAGGUCAAAUAACGAGUCAUAAUCCAACUCGUUCAACAUGAGCUAACCUCCUUUCCUUUCUAUUUUGCUUUUGAAAAAAAAAAAAAGAGAAACUAGUUUAAAUUAUUCUUCCCAUUUACAUAAAUUUUUAUCUCCAAAAUUUCAUUUUCUAUCUUUGUGUUUGGGUUGUAUUUUAAUCCGUGGGUUUACACCCCAUUUUGACUCAAUAAUUUGGUAGAUUAUUUUGAGUUAAACCCAUUGGUUAUGUCAACAAACAGAUUAUAACCCAACUCGUUUAAACUUAGAUAAAUUACUAAAAACUAAGUUAAUUUUGCUACCUCUAGGUUUGCAGCAGGAAAAAAGCAAAAUCGAGUAGAUUCGAGGAGGAGAUGGGCUAUGCAUUUGCUGAAGUUGAGAGCUGUGGAAUGAGUGGAAAUGGAUUUUGUGACUUAAGUUAUGGGAAAGUUCAUGUCAUAGCACAAUGUGUUGGGAAUUUAGGAGCUUGUGAUUGUGGUGGAUGUAUGAACAAAGCAGUGCAGAUUGUUCAUGAUCAAUGUGCAUAUUCGAUAACUGCACAAGUGUAUUUGGAUGGAUGUUAUUUGAGCUAUAGCUAUGGUAAACAUAAGAUUUCUAGCUACCUAGAUGAAGGUAAAUUGUCUAAUAAAAAAUCUUGUUAAUUUAGAAUAUGGUAACUUAAAAUAAAAAAAAUCCUGAACUCAUAAGCUUCAAAUCAUGGCUCCGUUUUUUAGCGUAAAAGCCUUCUUUGGAAAGAGAUAUCUUAUUGUUACCUCCGACAAUAUACAUGGAUCAAUUAAUAGAUUUUUUUUUGGUUGAUCAUUUUGUGCAUAUAAUUUUCUUGACAGGGAAAGGAUCUGGAAAUGGUUCACAGAAAUUGGUAGCAAUUGUAGCUGGAGGAAUAGUGGCUACCAUUUUGUUAGGUGUAGUUUAUUACUUUAUGAAGUCUUGGGGCAAGAAGGAUGAUGGUAAGCCUUAAAUUUUUCUUGCUAAUGUUCUUUUUUCAUUGUUUUAGUUAGAAAGUUGUAUAUGAUGGUAUGCUUAUACAUACACUAAUAUAUAAAUAUUUACACUAUCAUAUUCUUAGAAAACUAAGUAAUAACUAAUAGUAUUGUCCAUUACAGUAAGACAGGUAACCUCGAAAAUAAAACAAACAACUUGGUGUGACAUAUUAAAUUACGUUGAUAAUGUAAAAGUUUUUUGCACAAAUUACUAUAUAUAAGUUAAAUUCAAUUGAAAAACAAAUGAUUUGUGCAACUAGAGUUCUAAUUUACUAUCUCAAAGUUGCAAGUGUAACAUUUCAUUUACUCAACUGAAUUCUUCUUCUUUCCUUUAAUUUCCCUGUUUGAUAUGCUAGCUAUUUCAAGAACUUAUAAUCUACACAUUAACCCGAAUUAUAGUCGUUUUCCUCAAUAGUGGAUUUUAAUAUUAAUUUUUCUUGUGGAAUAUUUGUGGUUGGAUAACUUACAACAAAAACUUCCCCAAAUUUUCACCAAUAUUAUAUGGUGGUGUUUUUCCACCGCAAGUUACUGAUUUAUUCUGGAUGUAUGAAGAAAUUUUUUUAAACCUAACUAACUUGACGUUCUUGUUGAUGUACUCUUAUAAUCUUAUUUACACGUCUACUUUCACUCAUUAAUUAAAUAAUAGAAUAUAUCGUUGAUUUUUAAAUUAUUGCACUGGCAUUGUAGAUGAUCUUUUACGCUAUUAAAUUAAGUUGGCCUAUAACAUGUCACUUUUUAUAACAAAAUAACCUACUAAUGUAAUUAUAUAAUAUGCAAAAUAGAGUGAUAUCCUAUUAUAACUAGUUAAUUAAAUUGUGCUGAUAUUAUAAAAUAUCUUAACACUAUGUAUAUAACUUUAAUGAUGUUUACUUUGCCACAGAUUGGUAAAAGAUGGAGAGUAGCUUAGUAGGUUUGGACUUCAAACUGGUCCAGCAAAAUGGAAGGAAGUGAAAUCAAAGGGGAAACCCACAAGAUACGAGACUGAUUUAGUGGGUUUAAAUUUACUCAGUAAAUAAAUGUGCUACUUCUCCCUCAUUCCUUAUCUUUUAAGUAAAAUUCAUUAUUUAAUUUCUUCUUUCUUUUAGAUGUGAAAUGACUUAACUAAUUUGAUAUAAUAAAUGAAUAUAGUGCUAUUUUUAAAUUUUGAUUUUUCCUUUUGUUCUCUUUUUUAUUCUCUCGUAGGUGUAUCUCUCUUUCUCUGUCUUUAUAUCUUUUCAUUAGGGGUGUUCAAACCGAACCAGAAAAUCGCACCAAACCGAAAAAUUAAACCAAACCGAUUAAAAAACCUAACUAAGUUUGGUUUGACUUGGUUUGGUAUUGAGUAAAAAAAUGCGAACCAAACCGACAUAUAAAUAUAUAAUUUUUAUUUAUAUUUUUAAGACUUUAUAUUGAAUUUUCUUUAAAAAAUAUUGAAAUAUUUGGAAUCCUCUCAUGUGUUAACCUUGAAAGCGUACAUUAACGAAAAUUAUUGUUAGACGACUAAGAAAACAACUAUCAUGUGUUAUUAAAAAAAUUCUCCCAUUAGAAUAUUUUAAUAGAUCAUAUGUUUGUCAAUUUUUUUAAUAUUUACUAAACAUAUAUUCACUUAUCAAAACUUUAUCUAUAACUUUAACAAAGUAAGAUUGGAAUAAUAUUCAUGUAACAAAAAAAAACCGAAAAUCCAAAAAACCUGACAAAACCGAACCAAUCCAAACCGAUAUAAUUAAUUUGGUUUUGAUAAAAAUCGAACCAACCCAGUUAAUGUACACACCCACUUUUGACCAUACCGUACUACAUUAUUAGAGUAGUACUCACAUUAUUUCAAAUCCACUCAAUUUGGUUUUAGAAACAACAAAAACUUAUUAAAAUAUCUACCUAGCUCUCUUUGUUCUCCAUUUCCCAAUAAUUGGCAUAUUAAGAUAUUAUAGUCACUUAAUUACUAUUUAUAUGCUUCGUUGUUCCUCAACUGAAAGAGGAAAAACAUCAAAGUACACGCAAAAUAAAUAAAUAAUAAUAAUAAGAUCAUCAUACUCCACACUGUUGAUCUAGAACUUUUCUGAAUAUCUUUUUACUAAAGUUUUCAAAAUCCAAAUUAAAGUUGUGCGAACACCAACAUAUUAUAGACGUGUAACGACUCGACCGGUUAUUUUGGGAAUUAGCGUUCCGUUUGGUGGCAUAAGAUCUCGAGUAGUCUUGUAUUGUAUAUUAUGACUUGCGUGUGUGGCCAGAUUCGAUUUUUGGAUGAUUUGGGUUUGAUUUGGAAGAAUGAUUCUUGUUUUAGAAGCUUAUGUAGCAAGAGUUGACUUUUAUGUAGACGACUCCGUAAUGGUGUUUUGAUGAUUCUAAUAGUUUCGUAUGGUGAUUUUGGACUUAGACGUAUGCCGGAUUGUUGGUUCCCCAAGUACACGCAAGUAUACGUGGCCAUCAAGUAAUAAAGUGACUCGAAAAUCGGAUGUCGAACCCACAAAGACUUAGAUUAAUCAUUAACUAAGCAAACUAAAAUCAAUUUACUAUCCAAGAUAAUCAAAAGUUUGGGUUUUCUUUUAUAACUACUAUUGCAAAAUUUAAGCACGUAACCAAGGGAGAUAUAGAUUCCACGGUUGUGAUUGGUUUAUCAAUCCUAUUGAGUUCGUAAUUACACCUGCUAAUCUGAAUUAUCUAUGAUUGCUAGUUGACCGGAACAUUUAUAUAAAUAGCAUGUUCCCACAAUACUAUCCGUCUAUCUACAAUAUAUCAACCUUAUAUUCCUAUGGUAUUGAAUCUAUCAUGAACGAAUAUAAUACGGUAUUCAACUAAGCAAGACUGUUAGGUAUAUUCCUAUCCUAACCGUGAAAUCUUUCUCCGAGCCACGGGUUCAGAAACAAGCUCUCUUUAAUUCUACUCUAAUCUAAACAUGGCUUUCCCAAGCAUCGCAUAGAUAGUAAAUAGAACUCAACUGCUAGCCAAACAAUUAAGCAAUUAUGAACAGAAUUAGAGAAACAACCAACAACGAUAACUCGAGUUAACAGUAAUGUAAUUAAUAAACUUCAAUAUUCAUGACAACCACAACCCUAGAACGCGAAAUUUAGCUUCACAUAGACAUGGUAGCAAAACAACAAUUCAUCCAAAGAAACGUAAAGAUUACUAAGUUUGAUGGAAGAAAGAUGGAAUCUGAUGAAUUCCGGCCUACACGGCAACUCCGUCUCUCCCGUGGUCCAAAGUAUAUUAGCCCCCCUCAAAAAGAGGUUUUGGAACCCCUUUUAUACAUAUUGGGGACGUGUAGGUUUGAAAUCUUUAAGUCCAAGCCGAAUUAGGACAAAAUUCGCCCUUUGGCGUUUCGCUUGGAGCCUGACACCAACCUGGACAACAAACUUUUUGGUCUUCUGUCAUUGACGUUUUGGUCGAUGCCUAGCACCAACCUGGGCACUAAAUUUAUACUUCCUCCAAAUUCUUCCCUUUUUGACAUCAAUUUGCAUGCAAACUCCCCAAAUCACUUCCAAUUGACUCCUACACAGAUAAAUAACAUUAUUAAGCUCGAGUCACAAAUAUUCACAUAAAAAUUAAUUAGAUCGAGAUAUAAUGCAAGGCAAAUUACAUGCAAAAAUAUGAAUUUUUAGCCAAAAAAAUCAAACAUCACUACCCCACACAUAAGUUCCCGCUCGUCCUCAAGCAACCAACAAUUCACUCUAUCUUUGAGCACCUUAUAAUUACACAUUUGAAACACACUACACCAAUGACCAUGGUUGAUAGCAACAAUUAAACUGUAGCAUAUGCAAUCACUUACACUUUCCUUUUCUUAUGCCAUUUUUCAAAAAUAUUCACAACAAAGACGGCAUGCUUAUAACAAUCCUAGCCUCUAAAAUCGACUCAGUAUCACAAUGCACUCAUGGCUGAACACCCAACAUCAUAUAGAAGUCUAAUAACAUGACAUAUCCUUCGUGAAACCAUGUGCUCUCACAACAAGAAUAAAAGAGCAAGUUGAAUCCACACAUUCAAAUCAAAUUCUCAAAUAUAUUUCAACGACUCAUAUAUAUCAAAGAAAAUCGCUCACUCUCACAAAAUAAGUCACAUGCAUAUAAUUGGUACCAUAGGCUUGCCCUUAAUGUAAAUCUCUACUAAUGUAGGCUCGCUCGAUCUAAAAUCAAUUAGAACUUUUUUAUGGUUGUAAUGUGGGUAAAGAGACGGGUAGGAUAUAUUUAGGAAUAGUGGUUAACCCUCUUAAGUACUUUAACACAUCACAUAAUUAACUUUAAGCGCAUAUUCUUCAAUCUCAACUGCAAUUUCACAACUAAAAUCACCCCUAACAGUGUUUCCUCUUUCUUUAGGCACUACUUUAAUUUAUGCCCACUAGCAAGAACAAGAUGUCAAUUUAUUCAUCUAUAUUUUUCCUUCUCUUUUUUUAGAUUCUUUUUUCUUUACAACUUUUGGUAGUGGUGUAUUCUUUUACAAAACAAGUGCAUCUUUCUUUCUUUCAUUGGUUCCACUCGAAAGCCACCCAAAUUCUCUCCUUCUUUUAGCGCUCAUUUCACAAUUAAAAUGCUUUAAGAGGUAAAAUGAUCAAAACAAUGUCAAUUAAGAAUAUAAAGGGAUAUAGGCUUGUAAUGUGGGUGCUAAAUAAAAGUUUAUAGGUUCAAAAUGGUUAAGUAGGGUUAUAUUUUAUUUGUGAUUAGCAUUUAAGCUUAAAAAGAACAAAGACAGCCUAAAAUUAUUUUUCAAACCGAGUCUUACCUAAAAUUUCUCUUCGAGUCACAUACCGGACAAGUUCUAGACCCAAGUACAAUGAUAUGGACUACACAAAGUUCUUACUUCACACAUGGCACAUGACUCACUAAGGAUUGUCUCAUCCCGACUCUCAAACUAAUGCAAGUAUUCACAGAUCCACAAGAUAUUAAGCAUUAAGUACAAAGUGAACAUAAAUUAAGAAUACGAGACAUAGGCAUCACGAUACAUGCAAUCCAAUUUAUAACGGCAUCAUGAUCAAUUUUAAAAUAUAGGGAAGAUACUACAAGUUACUAUCAAACAAGUUAAGGGCGCCUAUGAAUCUCAUCUUCCUUCCUCUAUUUUUUUCUAAUUCCUACUCUAAGAAAAUAAAAUAAAAAAACUACUACCCGGUUCAAACUACAUCUCAUGGAAAAGAACCGAGGCACAAAAAAAAAUCACGGGGGAUUAUUACUACCUAAAGGAAACUAAAAGACAUAUUUUUGAAAUUUUUUGUUUAGACUCUAAUUCCUCAAGAAAAUUAUCUAGGAGAUCCAUCGUCGGGAAAAGUCCAUUUUUUCUACUUUUUUCGAUUUUUCUUUAUUUUAAAAAAAUAAAAAAUUUAAGCUACUAAAAUACUACACAACUAAAAAAAAUAAAAAUAAGAAGCUAAAAUCAAAAUAAGAAGUUAAUAUUUUUACUAACAUACUACUACUAAUUAUCCAGAGAAAUUCCUCCACCCCACACUUAUAAGAGUGCAGUGUCCCUAAUGCACAAAUAAAAAAAAUAACAAGGGUGGACAAGAAACUCCCCGAAAGGCCAAAAGCCGAAGCAAUAGCGGCUCACAGGAUAUUCAAACUUCUCGCAGGCAUGGUCCUUUGUGCGGGCACCCCAUACAUAGUUCCAACCAUUUAGCUUAUUUUUAUACUCUUCCAAUGGCUUUGCUUCCUAUGCUUGUAAUCCAACAAAAUAAAACAACNNNNNNNNNNNNNNNNNNNNNNNNNGUCGAAAAAUAGCAUGGAAUGAGGACUAAUACGCUCCAACUUUAAAUCUGCGUCACUAUUUACAUCCUCAUAUGUACACACACUAGAGUCUUCAAAUAUAAUAUUAUCUACUUCCUCACAGGACUCUAAUGUGCUUUCCUCAACAUGGACAUCAUCAAUAAAAGUAUGGUCGAAUGAUUGACUCUCCACUUUUAGCUCCUCAAUUUGGCAUAUAAGCUCCUUUUCAGCUUCAUACAAUUCAGAACUAUUUUGUUGGGCAUUAGACACAUCAACCUUUGCAUUCAAUUGAGCUCCCAAGUCAUGAAUAGGAAUGCCAAAUUUUUCGAUCUCGUGUCCCAGUUCAGCUCUUCCUUCUAUUAAGUCUUUCAUCCUAUCUGUAAUUUUCUCACGUUGAGCCUCGUAUAUUUCUAAUUGUUCAGCUUGUUCCAUUAGCCAAGUUUGGCUCAAAAUCUCCACUUCUUCAAAAAUUUCUCUUGCUGGAACUCACUCUCUUCUCCAGUUUUAAGCUCUUCCUGACUAUCAACUAAGGCUGCAACUUGUUGAUCAUCGAAUGUUUCAACCCAUUCUUCUACAUUGUCCUUCAUUCUCUUCAUUGUGGCCUUGAGAUUUUCCAUCUCUUUUCGAUGUUCAUGAGUUUGCUCCAUCAAGAUUUGAGUUUGCUCCAUUAUUUGCCUCAACAAAUUCGUAGUUUGAGCAUCAUAUUCCACAUUCUCUAAUUUGUUCCUAUCAAACUCACAAAAGUUAUUAUAAACAUCACAAAAAUGGCUCGAAGAAGGAUAAAAAGAAUUAGGACAGUCAUCCCAAUGGACACCUUGACCACCAUACAUAUUAUAAAUAUUCCACUCAUAAGAUUGAGAUGGUGCACCGAACUCGCUCUCGGGAAUAUUUUGACAAAUUUUCUACCUGUGGGGUCCUCCACAAUAUAGACAAGGAUCAUCAUAGUAAGAAUAACCAUCAUUCAAACAAUUUUCAUUCCAAGAUGCCAUGUGAAAAUAAGUUUUAAAAAAUUAUUAACUAAAUAAGAAAAUUAAAAACUUGAACAAAAAUCAACUAAAAGCUAAACUUAGAUAAACAAUCAAUAACUAAGUCCCCGACAACGGCGCUAAAAACUUGUUGGUUCCCCAAGUACACGCAAGUAUACGUGGCCGUCAAGUAAUAAAGUGACUCGAAAGUCGGAUGUCGAACCCACAGAGACUUAGAUUAAUCGUUAACUAAGCAAACUAAAAUCAAUUUACUGUCCAAGAUAAUCAAAAGUUUGGUUUUUCUAUUACAACUACUAUUGCAAAAUUUAAACACGUAACCAAGGGAGAUAUAGAUUCCAGAGUUGUGGUCGGUUUAUCAAUCCUAUUGAGUUCGUAAUUACACCUGCUAAUCCGAAUUAUCUAUGGUUGCUAGUUGACCAGAUCAUUUAUAUAAAUAGCAUGUUCCCACAAUACUGUCUGUAUAUCCAUAAUAUAUCAACCAUAUAUUCCUAUGGUAUUGAAUCUAUCAAGAACGAAUAUAAUACAGUAUUCAACUAAGCAAGACUGUUAGGUAUAUUCCUAUCCUAACCGCGAAAGCUUUUUUCGAGCCACGGGUUCGGAAACAAGCUCUCUCUAAUUCUACUCUAAUCUAAACAUGGCUUUCCCAAGCAUAGCAUAGAUAGUAAAUAGAACUCUAUUGCUGGCCAAAUAAUUAAGCAAUUAUGCACAUAAUUAGAGAAACAACCAACAACUAACUCGAGUUAACGGUAAUGUAAUUAAUAAAUUUCAAUAUUCAUGACAACCACAACCCUAAAACGCAAAGUUUAGCUCCACAUAGACAUGGUAGCAAAAUAAUAAUUCAUCCAAAGCAACGUAAAGAUUACUAAGUUUGAUGAAACAAAUAUGGAAUCUGAUGAAUUUAGGCCUCCACGGCGGCUCCAUGCUCUCCCAUGGUCCAAAGUAUGUUAGCUACCCUCAAAAAGAGGUUUAGAACCCCUUUUAUAUAUGUUGGGGACGUGUAGGUUUGAAAUCUCCAAGUCCCAUCCGAAUUAGGAUAAAAUCCGCCCUUUGACGUCUCGCUUGGAUCCUUGAACUAACCUGGACAACAAACGUUUUGGUCUUCUGUCAUUGGCGUUUUGGUUGGUGCCUAGCGCCAACCUGGGCACCAAACUUAUACUUCCUCCAAAUUCUUCCCUUUUUGACGUCAAUUUGCAUGCAAACUCCCCAAAUCAAUUUCAAUUGACUCCUACACAUAUAAAUAAUAUUAUUAAGCCCGAAUCACAAAUAUUCACACAAAAAUUAACUAGAUCGAGGUAUAAUGCAAGGAAAAUUACAUGCAAAACAUGGAUUUUUAGCCAAACAUCACGGAUUUGAUGUUGGAGGUUCUUAGGUUGAUUUGUUGCAUUUUGGCGAAAGUUGGAAAGUUGAAGGUUUGGAAGGUUGAGAGGUUUGACUGGGAGUUGACUUUGUUGGUAUCGGGUUCGGAUUACGAUUUCGAGAGCUAGAAUAGCUCUGUUGUGUCAUUUGGGACUUGAAUGCAAAAUUUGACGUCAUUCCGGGUUGAUUUGAUAUGAUUCGACGCGAGUUGUAGAUGUUGAAAAUUCAUAGUUCAUUAAGCUUGAAUUGAGGUGCGAUUCAUGGUUUUGAUGUUAUGUUUUGGGAUUUGAGGCCUCGAGUAGGUUCGUUAUAUUUUGGGACUUGUUGGUAUAAUUUGACGGGGUCCCUAGGGGCUUGGGUGUGUUUUGGAUUAUUGGUAGAGAGACUAGUUAAGUUAAGAAAUUUGGAGUUUGACCAUCGUUAAUAUCGGAUCAAGAUGGCCUCUUUUCAGUGUUUUGAUUGAGCGAGUAGGUACGUAGCAUGUUUUAUGAUUGAAAUUCAUAUAUGGUUUGUGUCCGGGAGGUUCCGGGUGAGUUUCGAGGUGGUUUCGAAUUAUUUCGGUGAAGUUUGGGAUUGUUGGUGCUGGUACUUCGCAAUUGCGAACUUUUUGUUGCAAUUGCGAACUACUGCAAUUUCGAACCUUGGUCGCAAUUGCGACAUGUGGUCGCAAUUGCGAACAUCCGUAGUUGCGAACUUUUGGUCGCAAAUGCGAUAUCUUCAGCUGGGUUAAGAGUUGGAAUUUUAGUAUUUUAGCUCAUUCUUUCAUAUUUUGAACCCUAGACUCGGUAGGAGGCGAUUUAAAAAGGGAAUAUUCAUCUAUAAUCAUUGGGUAAGUGAUUUUGAUCAAUUUUCAACUAUUUUACAUGAUUAUAUAUGAGAUUUAACAUCAAAAUUAUGAAAAUUAAAGGGAAAUUUUGAGAAACUUUGUCUAUAUUUUGAAAAAUAAAAAUUUACGAUUUGAGAGUCGAAUUGGACUCGGAUUUAGAAAUAAAACAUAUAUGUAGACUCAUGGAGUUAUGAGUAGUCGGAAUCUACCCUUGGACCCGGAUUUUGACCAAGCGGGCCCGGAAUUGACUUUUGAGAAAUUGUGUAAAGAUCAUAGCUUUAUUUAUUGGAAUUGAUUUCUCUUGCAUUAUUUAAUGUUAUUAAGUCAAUUUUGGUUAGAUUUGAGUUGAGCGGAGGUGAAUUAUAAAGAAAAAGCUAUUUUAGAGUAUUGAUUGAGGAAUUUUGAGGUAAGUAUCAUGCUUAACAUUGUGUGGGGGAACUACCCCGUAGGAAUUGGGUUGUUUGCACUAUUUGAACUACGUGAAAGAUGUAUACAUGAGGUGACGAGUGUGUACACGGCUUAUAUGUGAAAAUUUGACCGUUUUAGACUCUUAGGUUUCUUAUGCACAUUAAAAUAAAGUUGUGUUAUCAUGUUAUAUCCUCCAUUGCUAAAUUUACCAUUAGAUGCCUUAUUUGAAGUUGAUUGGUUCAUGUUCUACCCUUUGUUGCCAAAUAUACUCUUAUAUGUUUUAAUUGGAGUUAUUGCCUCUUUUAUUACAUGUAAUCUCUUCCAUUGUGAUUUAUCCUUAUUUGAAAUCAUUGUUACAUGUUGCCUCUCUUAUUGUUGAGUUAUUCUUAUUUGAAAUCAUUGUUACAUGUUAUCUAUCCUAUUAUUGAGUCGUUCUUAUUUGAUAUCAUUGAUACACAUUAUCUCUCUUAUUGUUGAGUUAUUCUUAUUUGAAGCCAUUAUUACUUGUUAUGUCUUUCAUUGUGAGCUCGUUCUUCCAUUUCAUUGUGCUUUUGUAAUUCUUUUAUUGAUUUACUUGCCGUACUCCCGGGUUAUUAUUGUUGUUGUUGCACUCAGUGUAGUUAAGCCGAGGGCUAUGUAUGGCUGUGGUAUUGAAAUUAUUUUUAAGGAAAUAUAGUGGCAUAUGGGCACAUGUGGUGCAAGUUGUUAUAUUGUUUUAUGUUUUUGGCACAUGCGGUAAUGUUGAGAGGAUUGUAGGGGUAUUUGCACAUAGGUUGUUCAUGCUAUUGUUAUUAUUGAUAUUUUCACAUGCGGCGUGACAAGGUGAGCUAUAUAUGUGGGUUUGCGCAUGUGGCGAGACAAGGUGAGAAUAUUAUUAUGCGCGUGUGGAGAGAUAAGACGGGCAUUUACUUUAUUGUUGCGCACGCGGCGAGACAAGAGGGGCUAUGUCGGGGAUGAUUUGUAAUGAUCUGUGAUGGCCUGGGGGCAUUGUUAUUGAUGAUAUUUCUGUAGUGGUGUGCCUACCUAGUGUGAGUCAUGCAUAUUGCGGUUUUGUUAUGUUGUUUCCUAUGUGCCAUUCGUUCUCUUCGAUCUUGCUUGUUGACUCGAGCUGUGAUAGAACACCUGCACAAGCAUACACCGUAAUUAGUCACUCAUAUCAGUCUAAGAAGAUGAACCCUGAUGUUUAGUGAUCAUUUACAUGCAUUCUUGUAUGCCUGCCUUCUGUGCAUGAGUUGUACUAUUGGCACGUGAGUUGUCCGUGCGGAUAUGAGAUAUUGCUACUAUUGGCACGUGAGUUGUCCGUGCGGUUAUGAUGUAUUGUUACUGCUAGCACGUGAGUUGUCCGUACAGAUAUGAGAUAUUAAUGGUAUUGGCACGUGAGUUGUUCGUGCGGAUGUUAUUUGUAAUGUAGGCACAAGAUGCCAAGUGAUUAGGGUUCGUAAUUUGGGACCCGUGAUUGUGAUUAUGAGGUAUGGUACCUCGGGGAAAUUCUUAUACGAACCUUGUGUGAAAGCGGUUGUUCUAUUGGGUUGUUACAUGUUUUCCCUUACUUGAUUUUACAGGACUUUAACUGUAUUCUGCUUACUUUUCGGCGUGAUUACCUAUUGUUCCUGGUUGCUAAUUGUUGCUUCUAGUUUUCUAUUGCAAGUAUUAUUUUGUUAUUCUUACCAUGCUUAGCUUUAUAUUGAUAUUGUUCCUUGUUAGUUUCAUAUUCGUACUUGUACAGGUUAUUAUGUCUAGUUGGUGUCUUGACUGUUCCUCGUCACUACUCCACCGAGGUUAGUCCAAAUACUUAUUGGGUACUGCUGUGGUGUACUCAUGCUACGCUUUUUGUAUAUUUUUGUGGAGAUCCAGGUACUUCGGAGCGCGCUGGUCAUUAGUUAGUUGAUUGUGAGUUGUUGCGGAGACUUCAAGGUAUACCUGUCAUCGCGUUCGCAAGCCUCUGAGUCACAUUCUAAAAUUUACUUUGUACUGUUUAUUUCUAUUCUGGAACUGUUGUACUUAGAGAUUUUCUAGCGAACUAAGUAGAGCUUAUGACUUGUACUAUCGAUUUUGGGAUAUUGUAUAUCUAUUGAUGGUUGUUGGCUUUGUAUAGAAAUUUCUGGUUCAUGUUAAAUGGUUGAUUUGUAUAAAUCUGUUAAAUAACUCUCUAUGUGUUAGGCUUACCUAGUCUUAGGAACUAGGUGUCAUCAUGACUCAUGAGUAGGGAUUUUGGGUCGUGACAAGAUGUAAGACUAAACUAUAUUAGUUUGGAGUUUAAGUUCUAUACACCUACAACAUAAAAAUAUAUACACCAUCAGGUUAAUUAUUAGAUAACUAUAAGUUUAAUUCUUGAUAAAUAUUAUUGUUAAUAUAGUAAAAAUGAUAACUAACCUAGUAUAUCAUAUAUUAAAAUUCACUAAUGAGGUAAACAUAUUUACAUUAUGAAUAUAACUUAGGUUCAUUAGUUUGGAUGUUGAGAGCUAGCGCACUUGAUAAGCUUCCUGCCAUUCAUAAUUGAAACCCUCAAUCCCAAAAGAAACGUAAAAAUAGCACGGGCUAGCUAAUUAUCGGAUUAGUAAUUGAAAAAUAGCCAGCGUUUGUAAAGUCAUUGAAAUAUAGCCACUGUUUUGUUGCAACACGGAUCGGUCCAGCAUAAUAUACUGGAGAUUGGUGCACUUGUGUAUGAACUUCCAGCAUAUUAUGCUGGAACUCCAACACGCGGAAAGUUUCAGCAUAAUAUACUGGAGAUUAGAGCACCUGUGUAUGAACUUCCAACAUAUUAUACUGGACCGGUAUAUUAUACUGGAACUCCAGUAUAUUAUGCUGGAAUAUUUUUCGGAUUUUGAACAUUGUUUUCGUUCAGAUUUAUCUUUACACGCAAAGUGGCUAAAUUUCGAUUACUUUUAAAAUUAUAGCUAUUUUUUAAUUACCACUUGUAAAUUUGACUAUUUUUAAUUUUCUCCCAAAAGAAAUAUAAGAGAAGACGCUCUCUUAGAGUUUUUAAUUUGAUAUGGCUAACGUUGACCAUAAACGAUGAAGAGAAAAAUAAUGGUCCAAACACAUCAAACACCCUCAAAAUCGCCAUAAAAUUCGCAUCCAUUCAAAACUCAAACAAAACAACAUACACACAUUCCUUCUUAAUUUGUCACCUAUACCAUCUCAUUCUCUCUAGAUGCCACUGCCAAUUUCCACCACCAUCUCCUUGUUGUUGUUGUCGUCGCCGCCACGGACGGCGGCAAUAACAUAUCAAUGGACCCUAACAACAACAUCUCGACGACACCAGAAUCCUCCUCUCUCUCUUAUCAACCUUCACUUAAUAGUAAUAAUAAUAAUAUUGCCCCUAACAGCAGCAAUUAUAACCACAUUAUUGAAAUUAGUCUCAUAUCUGCCCAAGACUUAGCUCCUGUAUCCAAAUCUCUACGUACUUAUGCCCUCACAUGGAUUAACCCGAACAAAAAAAGAAGCACACGUAUUGACAAUGAAGGACACAACAACCCCUCAUGGAAUGACAAGUUCUCCUUCAAGGUUCCAUGCAUGUUAGAUAUUAUUUAAAUUUUAAAUUCGUGGUGGAGUCGGAAAUUUAAAUAAGGGGUUCGAAAAAAAAUAAAAACGUCAACAUGUGACAUAAAGCAAUAUUUGAACCUAUUUUAUUACUAUUAUACUAUAAUAUUCUCUUAAUUUAAGGGAUUCAAUAAUUUAUGUUUUUUGCCUGUUUGCACAGCAUAAUUUUCUAGAUUCAAUUGAACCCCUAUCAUCUAGCUAGCUCCGCCCCUAUUUGUAAUAUAUAUAAAGUGGGAUUGUCUCAUAUAGGCAAAAUUUGAGUUUUGAUGGUUUUAUUUGUUAAAAGACUUGGUAUUUUCUGUUUUAUUUAAACAAUUGAUCAAUUUAAAUUAAGAUAUAAAUUUUAAUUAGUUCUUUUUAGCAAGUUUUAAAUUAAAAGGACAUGUCUAUUAUAUUCAUGAACCAAAAUGGUUUUGUUUUAUCAUGAAAAAACUUGUUUGUAUUUCUUUCCAAAAUAUUAUAUAUAUGCAAUAUCUCUUUAAGAAAAGUUCAUGUUUUCAAGUCUCAAAAUUUUUUCUCCAUUCUUCUCACUUUGUUUUAUUCUAUUAUCUUAUAGGUCAAUGAUGAGUUCCUAUAUUCAGAAACUUCUGCAGUUCAUGUUGAGAUUUACACCGUUUCUUGGUUUAGGGAUGUGCUAGUUGGUACAGUUCAUGUUCUUUUGAACAAUCUCAUCAACCCUUUUGUUAAUUCAAAUGGCAAAAGAUUUGUUGCUUUACAAAUUAGAAGGCCAUCAGGAAAUCCACAAGGAAUUCUCAACAUGGGCGUCUCACUUAUUAAUAGUUCUAUGAAAAGUAUGCCACUAAUUUGUAGUGAAAUUAUGAAUCCUUCUUCUUUGAAUUAUCGAGACAUUUUAGACAAGAAAAUUAAUGAAAAUUAUCAAGUAGAUGAUGAGAAACAAAGGCAAAUAAAUGACAAAGUCCAACUAUGGAGAUCUUUGAGUUUAGGGUAUUCAGAGGUUAACAAUGAAGAUUUUCCUAACAAAGCUGGCUCAGUUUGUAAUGGCUCAAUGGUAAAUGGGUCUAUAGUAAAUGGCUCAGAAUUGUGUUCCGAUAUUGGUCCAUCAGCUUCCAUUGUUGCAGCUGAGAUAGCCGCUAAAAGGUACUGUGUAACCAACUCAUCUACAAACUUCUUGAGAGCAAAAAUUUUUAUUAACUUUUUAUGUUUGGGUCAAGCACAUAUAAAUUUGAUAAUCGGUGGCGAUGAGGGUCAUGUGCACAAAUUACCUUUUUCUUAGGCUACUAUUUAAAUUUUGUCCUACAUUAGUCCAGUGGACUAAAAUUGUCUUUUAUAAAAUGAAAAAAUAAUCUUACUAUUUUUAAAGAUGAUAUUUAACCACUAAGCUAAUCGGGUAUGUCAUGUUUAAUUAUAUGAUUAUUUAAAUUAUCAGAUAAAUAAUAUUUUUACUUACUUUUAUUAUAUACUCAAGGUACCAACCACCACCGCAGCCAGCACGACCAGAGCCACCAAAAGAAAUGCAUAUCAAACAACCAAAGGAAAUGGAAGAUGGGGAAAGCUCAAUAUUAGAGGAUUUAACAGCAGAGGAAGCAUAUGCCAAAGGGUUAACAUCAAGUAUAGAGAAAGGGAGGAAGGAGAUGGCGGUGCAAGCGGUGGUAAACGGAGGACAUUCACGGCGAAACUCUGACGGAGGGUUGUUUUCUUGCUUUGGAAAUGCAUAUGGUAUUGAGUUCAGAAUUGUUUGCGGAGCAAGUAAUAAUAGCAACAAUAAUAAUCAUGGGAAUAGUAGUAGGAUUCCUAAUACUAGCAACAGAAGCAGAAAAAAGUGGUCUAGUGAGACAAAUUCAGCUUGAGGACAACUUUAUUUUAGUACAUGUAAAGUGUUACAUACUAUAAUAAAAGUUGUUUAAAUUCGAGUAGUCUCAGCCAUUACGGGCUAAUUUUAUUUAUAAUCUUUUUGGUAAUGAAUUUGUUCUAUUUUUAAUUACUCCUCUUAUGUUUUGGAAAUAGCCGAUUUUUGCAUCUUUAUCACUCUUUCUGCAAAGUGCAAUUUGCAUUAUGCAAAUGUAAGUUAUUUUAUUGGACUGGAAGUCAUUUUUCUGUAUUUAUCUGAAAUUUGCUUUCGUCUUAUAAAUUCAUACUAACGUCAAGCCUAUAUGCAAAAAGGGUUGACGUCAAGUAUAUAUGAUUUGAGUUCAGAAUUGUUUGUGGGACAAGUAACAAGCAGAAUCAUGGCAGUCAUAGAAUUCCUUUGAAAGAAGUGCACCACUACAAAAAAAAAAAACAACGUUUAGCGACGGAUUUUAGCGACAAGCCAUAUUCUGUAGCUAAAUAACGACAGAUUAGCGACGAAUUUUGUUGUUUGUCGCCAAAUAAGCUACAAAAGAUUUAGUACCAAAUAUAGCGAUGGAUUAGCGACAAUAAUUUACGUUAGUCGCUAAAAAUUGGCGCCUUUAUUUACCUACAAAAUUAGCGACAAAAGUGGGGCGACAAAAAAUAUUAAAAUAUAGCGACGGAUUUAACGACAAAAAUUUUGUUGCUGCGUUUAUUUUACUUAUCAAAACAUUCCAAAAGUUAAUUGCGACGGAAAUUCCGUCGCUCGAUUCUUAAAAAUAAUUUUGCCCAAGUUAUUAUUAGCGACAAAAUUAUUGCCGUAGCUAUUUCCGUCGCUAUUCCUUUUUAAAAUUAAAGUUUAUCUAGGGCACAAAUCUGCUUACAGACUCACAUUCUCUCUCUCUCUAUCAAACUCGCCCACUUUCUCUCAUCUUCAACAAUGUGAGAUUCUUGCUUCCAAUCCAACAAAUUGGGCAUGAGUCUAAGGCUCAUGUACCAUUGCCGCACUUUCCCUUCUCUUCCACCAUCGUCGGCCACCGUCUUGAGGUAAUCCUAACUCAUCUCUCUCUAUCUCCAUAUUAAUUUUUAUAUCUGUAUCUUUUUCUGCCAUCAUGGUGAUUCUGGUUUCACCAAUUUUGUUGUUUUUGUUACUCCCAUAUAUUUUUCUUCACCAACUAUCAAUCUUAUCCGAAUAUUUCUAAAUGAUUCGUUCAGUGAUUUAUUUUUUAUAUGUUUUUCUUUUCAUUCUAUUUCUUUCUAAUUACUUCUGUUGUUGAAUAUUUGAUGUUUAGAAUGAUAGGCUGUGCCAUUGGGAUUACGUGGUGUGUGUUCUAAGGUUUAGAUGCAUGUGUUUUGAUAUAUAUUGUUGUGGUUGUUUCGUUACAGAUUGGCAUUGUUCAAUCUAUUGUUCGUGAGGCCUAUUUCAAUUUUUACUCCUUUCUGAAAGUAAGCUAAUAGUUAAUCAAAUUUUUCUCUUUUCUCUUUAGUUAACUUUGGUGUUAUUAAAGAAUUUGCAGACGUUAAAUAGUUCCAUAAGGUCAGUUGAGUUUAAUUGUUUGGGUUUGUUAAAUUUAUUGUUACAUUUCAGUUAAACCAAUUUUUCUUUUCAAUUAAACCAAUUUUUCUCACCAACCUUGUCUAUAGGCCUGGAAUGAUAUUUUGAGAUACUAUUUAGCCUUGAAUUUUUGACAUCAAAUUUAUAAAAAUUUGAAAGGUUCAGUUUGUUGUUAUUUAAGAGAAUUAGUACACCUUUUUAUAAUUGGAUGCCCCUAUAAUGCUGUUAAAAUUGGUGUAGAUAUUAUGAGUUAUAUAUCUUGCGUAAGAAUUUUGGUAACAUCAGAAUAUAUAAAAAUUCUUUAUCACAUCUGAUUUUACUCAUUGUAGUUAAUGAUUUAAUACUUGAUUAGCUCCUCCUUGGUUGAAGAAAGCAAAUUAGCUUAUCCAUUCAUGAGAUUCUUUGUGUAUUAUACUAGUAACUAUUGUUAAAGAAUUAUUGUAACCUCAGAGUGUAUGAAAAAUUCUUGAUCAAAUAUUCUUUUUACCAUUUAAAAUUAAUGAUGUCAGAUUUUACUUGUCUCCUCAUCUGUUAGAAGAAAGCAAAUUAGCUUAUCCAUUUUCACGAGGCCUUUCUGAGUACUACAAUAGUGAUAUUGUAAAAAUAAACUCUUAACAAAUUAGCUUAUUUUUCUUGAGACACUCUAUGGACUAGAGUUGUUAAAUUAUUAAGGAUCUUUGUCGACUAUAGUUAUGAUAUUGUAAAAGUAUUGCUUUGUUUUAUCCCUUCCUGAUAUGUUUUAUGUCACCGCAAGAUGGAUGCUAACAUUCCUAACACUAAUAAGUAGUAAUGUAGCCAUGACUUGCCUUUACUUAUUUAAUUUUUGCUUUUAAAUUAGUUGAAGAAAAGAAUAAAACAAGUUGCCAUCCUUUUGGGAUUCUAACACUUUUUCUUCCUUAUGUUUCAGUUUAAAAAGGACUUUUGAAAGAAAUGGAGAUGUCUUGCCAUGUGAUAGUUGAAUAGGUUAACUUUUUUGCUAUAGUAUCAGUUCUGGAAAAGAUAGAUUCAGAUUUGCAAAGGUGAUCAUUUAUCUUGUUUAAUAGAAGUUUUAUGAGAUCAUUGUUUUGGGCAAUUUCUUCUAAUUGAUGUUACUCAGUUUCUGCACUAGAUGCCGCACGUUGAUAGCUUACAUAGAAAUGAGUUGCAAUAGUUUGUCUGGUUCCUCGUAAAGUUCUCAGAGCUCUGAAUUCCUUAAUCUAUCGAAGUAUCAUUGUAAUAAUUCUUCCCAAAUUACAAUCAAAAGACUAGCAAUAAUAGAGUUGAAUUUUCUUUUUGUACAAGAUGUCCGAUCAAUUACUGGCAACGGAAUGAUUGACUUAUGAAAAGAUGGAUCUGUGAAUCGUUGUCGCUAUAUUUAUUGUUUAAGUUAACGGAAUUAAUUCAAAUUAGGAGUGAUCUUAGUGUAGUUGUAUGUUGAUAUCUUUUUAAUUGUUCAAAAUUGUAAGGAGUACACUUAGUCGAUCGGUACUUUUAUUUUUUGUAUACCGUAUUGAAAGCAUUCACUUUACCUAUAAUUUAUUUAUUUCAAUAUUAAAUAGGAAUAUGGAUAAUCUAGAGCGUGAUUGUAGCCAUAAACUACUUGUAAUAAUAUCUAGCAGAUUGACUUUGCAUAGAAAGAAAGUGAUUAAAACCUGAUAUUUGCUAAUAAAUUUUAGAUGAAUAAUAUAAUUAGAUAUGCAUUGUAUCAUAUCCUUUUUUAUUUUUUAUAUAUUUUAUAGAUAUGCCUCGAGGGAGAGGUCAAGAUAGUGCAGGUCGUGUAAGCAAAUCUUCAGUUAGGGGUAAAUGUGCUGCUCGUGAAAACAUGCAUACUGUUUCUAUUCCCACAACUAGUCCUCAACAAGGUGGCACCAGUUCCUACGGUAGAUCAGAUUACAUCAACCAAGUUCAAACAUCAUCCCAUGGUAGUACCCCACCUAUUAAUUUGGAACCAUCUCCAAUUAUACCUAAUCAGAGCAACACAAUAGGCGAGGGUACAUCUUCUCAAAGCAACCUUAUAGGCGAAGUUGAAUGUAGCAGUACCCGUGGGCAGCGAACGCUUCUUACUAUUUUUCCCACAAGGUUAGUCCAUGCUUGUACUAUUAUUUUUUAUAUAUUGUUAUAUUGAUAUAUGGUAUACCUUGAAAUAUUGUCUUCUAAUUUAUUCAGGUUAGAACCUUCAAGAGAAUGCUCGAGUGUAUAACUAAUUCUUUCAAGCAUGAACUUGUUCCUAAUGGAAUCAACUGGAAAAGCGUCUCGGUUGAGACAAAAAGAUUUUAUUUUGGAGAAUUCAAGGUAUAAUCCAUCACAAUUGAAUUUAGAAAGUAUAUUAACUUUUAUAUGUAACUUAUUAAUGUUAUUACUUUACAAAAUUAUUUCAGAAGGUAUUCUACUAGAUUCUUCAAUUGAUAUUGUUGUGUGGAACCAAUGGGGGCAUAUGGAAGCAAAAAGAUACAGUGAUUUCAUUAGCAAACUAAAACAAAUGAGAUGCAACGGAAAUCUAUUCCAAAUAAUGUGUGAAAAAGUUGGAUGAGACUUUGGAAAGAUCCUAAGUGUGUGGAAAAAUCAGAAAUAAAUGCAAAAUACCAUUCUGGUGGUAGAAGCGGAGUCACCAUUAGGACUCACAUGGGUGGAUCUAUCAGUGUUGGGGAGCAUCGCAAGAGACUUGUAAGUGUAUAUAAAAUAUCUGAAAAUCUCAUUUAAGUUUGCACUAAUUCGAAUUUGUAAAUCUUAUUUAAGUUCGGUAAGUUGUGAGUUGCGGAUUGUUUCUUGUUCUAUUUUUAAUAUUUUGUGCUUGAAAUUAUUGUUUGAGAAUUUCUUUUCGAAAAAUCCGGGUUGUCAAUGUGUGCCAAAAUUGAAGUUAGUAGUUGGAUGAAGGAAUUUUAGGUAUUGAUUUCUUCCUUGCUAGUUGUUGAGCUUUCUGUUUACAAGAGUGCACCUUUCUUGGAGACCUAGCUAUAAGCUGAUCUAUUUUCUUGGAUGAUAAUAUCUUCUGAUCUUCUUUUUUACGCCAUCCAUGUCUACUUACUUGACCUAUAAUCUCCUUUUCUUUUUCAUCUAUCUAGUUCACUUGCACUUCUUUCCAAAAGCAGAAACUAUAUUUCUUACUUUGUCACCUUUUCACUGUUAUAUAAACUGUUAAAUAUUAAUAUCUAACAAAAGCUUAGUCAUUCUACAUUUCCUGAAACUGAGCUGUAAUUAAGUUAGAUAGAGUAGUGAAGGCUCACCUGAGACUUCAUGACAUAAGCAUAAGCAUUAACAUAAAGUACAACGACACGAGUGGUUGUUGGAGUCCAUAGUACCGUGUUUGACAAAUUAGAAUGCUGAUUUAGAAAGUUGAGAAGUGUUUUAACAUAAGGCACCUUAUUGCUCUUGAAUCCAACUGAGCCAAUAAGAACCUUAAACUUCUCUCCCUACUAUCUUUAUCAAUUUGUUGUUAUUAUCAUAAUCUAGUAUAAAGAAAAAAGUUCUUAUGUCUUUUAAGUUGUCUUGCUCUAAAUACUUUGCGCACAUUGGAGUUGAUUUCGGAGGUGGGAGUUAGGAUUGGGAGCUUCAAAACCAGUUUGGAGACUUCUCUGCAAUCAAAAGCUAGCUAUAUGACUAAUGAGGUUUGGAGAGUCUUUAAUUUACAUGGAAGUUCAAGAAACAAAUUAAAAUAUUCUUUUCAGGUACUCUAUUGUGUGCUGGAAAGAAACAUCCCUAAGCGCACUUGAUAAAUUUUGCCCUAUAUCCAAGAUUCAUAGAUUAAGUGGAGUGGAGAAAAGUUUCAGUUAAUUCAAUAAUCCAGAUUCCUUUGGUUAUCUCCUUAAACUAACAAGAUUUUGAAGGUGGGAACUUGCUUAGUUUUUAGUUUCUCUGUUCUACUUAAGUUGCUUCCUUUUCUCUAUGUUAUUUUUCAAUCUCAUUUUAUACAAACGUCUUUUUGUCAAUCUUUUGAAUUGAACAUAUUUUGUAAAGGCUGUUAAAAAGGGUCGAGAUCCAACACCAAGUGAGAUACAUUUACACGUCCAUACACAUGGUAAUGAUAAAAAAUCUUUUGUUGGUGAGAAAUUCUGAAUCGUACAUGUAAGUCAACUUAUUAAAUAAUUUUAUUGACUUUACUUUCAUAUCUUUUUUCAUUUUGUAAAUUGAAUACUCAAUGUUCUUUAAUGUUUCAAUUUCACUAAUUAUUAACUCUUCUACAUGAAAAUAUCAGGAAAUAUUACAGCAACAAAUACAUAGUCAAUUUGAUAUUGAUCAGUGUAAAGCAUAUUAUGAAGCUGCGGGAUGAGAAAAGAAAAAAAGAGUAUAUGGUCUUGGAUCUCAAGCAAAAUGCUACUACAGGCCGAAUUUUCGUGACUCUUUUGGAUCUGAUGCAACACCUUCAAAUGCUCAAUCAACACUGAUAGGGAAUCUGGAUGAGUUAGUGACACAAUUGAUUUCUGUACUGACAGAUCAUAUAGUUCCUGUAAUGAUUGAGCGGGUACGCGAAUUAGUUUCUUUACCCUCACAUCAGCCAAAUAUUGAUCUUACCAACCACCCAUCAGAUGUGGCACCUACAGUUCCUACUUCUUCUAUUGCUGCUAACAUUGAUGAGGUUCAUGCAUUGGGUUCUGAUGAUGACCGUGACUCUCCAGCCUCGCAUAGUUAGCCUAUUUUGUUUAGACUUUAUUGUCGAUGCUUGUGGAUGUUUUGUACUUAACGAUACAGUUAUAUGUAUUAUGCUAUAUAUUUUGGACCUUGUUGAAUGUAAUUUAUAUUAAUAUCAGUCACUUUUAAGUAAGUGUAUUUAAUCGCAUUUAUGUAAUAUGCUUGAACAUGGUACAUUUAAAAUAAUAAAUAAAAUAAAAAAUUUAAAAAUAAUUAGCGACAGAUAUUUUUCGUAGCUCAAAUUAAUGCAUUAAAUUAAAUAUUGCGACGGAUUGGCGACAAAAGAUUUUUAUCGCUAAAAGCAGGAAAAAAUAGCGACGAAUUAUUUCGUUGCUAAUAGAACAAACGACGAAUUUUGUUAUGAAUUGUAGCGACAAAAUUAGUCAAAAUAGCGACGAAACCAACCAAAAUAGUGACAGUUUUUUCGGUUGCUAAACUUUGCUAUGGAUAUAUUGCGUCGGUAAUCCGUCGCUAGAUCUGCGACGGUUUUGUAUUUUUCGUCGCUAUGAGCUUAGCUACGAGCAUUUUAGAUACCAACUUAAAUCCGUCGCUAAAGCAGUUUAGCGACGAAUUGAACAUGUUUAGCGACGGAAUACGUCCGUCGCUAAACACUAUUUUUUUUUUGUAGUGUUGUGAGAUAAAUUAAUUUAAUUGCACAAGUUUAACUCAUGUAUCUUUAUAGUGUAAAGAAUAUUUUAUAUUAUCAGGUCACCAAAAAAGAAUUCAUAAAAAGUGGGACUAAUAAUUUUUGAAAUAAAACAUGUUACCUCUAUAAGAUGACAUCAUAAUAUAUAAAAUAAUUAUACUGUUUGUGUAUACAAGAUACUCUUUGCAUAAAUAACCACUUUUGUGGCCUUAUAGUUAGAAGUUGAUCAUUUUUCAAAAGUAGACCAUCAGUUUGAAGUUCGAAAGCCGUCACUUUAUCUGAAGCUUACAAUUCAAAAUAAAUUAAUAAUGGGACCACUCUUCUAACUUCAAAAACGUGGCAAACUUCUUAAUUAUAGGGCCUUGGCCACGGGCAAAUCAUUUUUUUUAAGGUUUUGUUAAGAACCAAAAUAAAUAUCACUAGGUAAAUCGUGUUUGUUUGUCAACUUAGGGUCGUUUUUAUUGUUGAUUAUUUUGUAGGACUUUAAUAUAUGUCUGAACCUGCUUGUAUAAAAGUCUUAAUUUGUCACUACUUAAAUGCAACUAUUUAUUGGUUAUUUAUGCACGAUCUAUAAAUGUUUUAAUUAUUUUUGCAGUGAUGUUCAUGAAUGAUUUAGAAUUUUAUAAAGAUAUUUAUUUUUGGAUUUAAACGAUAUUUGUUCGUGUGUAUUUACCGCACUGUUAGAGCUAAUUUUCUUUCUAGGUAUUUUUAAAAAAGAAUUUGUUCUUUUAUUUGAGGCCUUUUAAACACAUAAUAUUAAUCUCUCCUCCAAAUCUACCGAUUUUAAAUUAAGGGUGUUAAUCGGGUCGGACCGGCCCACUAACAAUCCAUUUCGAUCCGGGUCAGUCCGGAUCAGCCCGAUUCGGCAAGGGGUGGGACGGAUUGGUUAGGGUAGGGGGUUGUGCCGGACGGGAUCGGGUCUUUUUUGGCUACCGGUACACCGGAACCCGGCUAGCUCGCUAACCCUUCCAGCCCGGUCCAACCCGGUUUAUGUUGUAAUUUUUUUUAAAAAAAUUCUGACCGGUCAAAAUAAAAGUGACCGUUGGGCAACGGUCAUGUUUUGUACUUUUAGCUAUUUUGGCCUAUCCCCUUACUAAAAUUGCCCCUCCACCCCCCUAAUAAUUGAUAAAUUACAUUCUUAGCCUUUUAAUAACUAUAAAUAGCCCCCCUCUUGUUUAUUUUUUUCACAACUUGGUCUCUUCUUCUACUCUAAUUCUCUCUCAAUUCCCUUUUGAUUAUUGAAUUGCUUAUUGCUCUCAGGUUCUUAAUUAAUUAAUAUUUCAAGUUUUAUCAAUUAUUUACGGUAGCCACUACAAAUUAUAAUUAUCAAGUGAAGUGUGGUUACCAUUUUUUGUUAGGUUCAAGUUAAAUCAUGCCUCGUGCUUUUAGAGUGCAUUCACAUAUUUGGGAACACUUUGAGGUGGUAGAAGAAAAUGAAGAAGUUCGCAAAGUAGAGUGCAAGAAUUGUGGUCGAGUCUUUAAUGUUCAUCGAGAGUGGGAGGGCACAACUGGUUUAAGGAGGCAUAUCAAGGGUUGUUUUGUGCGUCCUCCAAGAAUUCGUAUUUAAGUUGAUUUGAGACAAUUUGGGUUAUUUUAAAUUUGUUAGACUUAUUUAAGUUUAAUGUGUUAGUUUAUAAGGCAAGAUAAUUUGAAGUAUUAUUAUGCAAUGAAAAUAUGAAAUGAAAGCCUUGGAAGUUUGAUCCCUACAUAUUGGUCUUAUUAAAUAAUUUUAUGUAGCCACUUAAUUUCAAUUUUUAAAUUUAAAACUUUAAACUUUAAAGUUUAAAAGUUUAAUUGUAUGCCUUAAAAUACUUAUUUUAUUAUUUAAAAGUUUGCAAACACUUAAGUAACAAUUACAUUGAACAAGGAAACAUAAUAUACUAAAAAAAAUUAACCCGACCCAGUCCGGACCCUAUAAGCCCGAACCCGGACGGGCCCACCAAAAUCCGGAAUAUCCCAGUCCGGAAUCCUAGCUCACUAAUAAGCCCGCCCCACUAAUCUGACGGGCUAUUCCGGUAAAACCCCAUAUUUUAAAUUCUCAAUUGGCAUAUAAAAAGUAAUUAAAAAAAAGUUGAGUACAAAGAGACUGUAGUGGACAUCCACCUGAAAAAAGUGGACCCACGCAAAUAAUUCUUUGAAUGUGAAUUGUUUAUCUUUAUUCAUUUUAAUUUGCAAAUGCAUGUAUCAUAUGUGGAUUAUUUUUCCACGUCUUGUGGAAAACGAUUUUCCACUACUAGAUUGUCUGUUUAGGAUUGUAAUACAAAAGGAUCGAAAUUGGAAUAUUUGGAGAUGAAGGUACAAUAAUACAAAGAUGGUCAUAAAUUUGGAGUCAUUUUCAUGUAUAUAUCAAUUAUUUGGAAAAAUUGGACACCAAUAAUGAGUAUAGUCUUUUCCUCAUCCUACUACAACUAUCAUAAUUUGUGAAUUUCUUCAACCCUUUUUAUUUGUUACAAUAUGUCUUAAGAAGCUUAUAUGUAAAUUUGUUGAAUGAGUUGUAAAUGUUUUAUGAAAAUUUAAAAAGACUAGAGAAUAUAAUUAGCAGUAUUUAGUUUUACCAAUAAAAUUUUGUUCUCGGUUGGUCUUCUUUAGAUUAAAAUGAAUUGUUAAUUUUCUAGUCAAGUGUUCCUUAAUAACAAUAUUAUUCACAAGAAUAAUUAAAAAGUUAAAUUUUUUAAUUACUAAAAUAACAAGAUUAUAAAUAAAUAAUAAUUCUCUCUUACUUCCGCUUCCGUAUGCAUUCCUGUAAAAGAAAGAAUUACACACGGUUCUUGUAUAGGGAUGAUCUUCAAAAAUCGAUCAGACCGAUCGAAUCGAACCGUAUCACACUUAUUAUUAGGUUUAUUUAAUAAAAUCAUAGGUUUCUAUAUAAACUUAUGACCGUAACGAAUAAUAUGGUAGAUUUUUAAUUUUAUGAAAGUAAACCGAAAAAAUACCGAAUCAUGCCGAAUAAAUUUAUAUAUGAAAAAUAUAUUUUAUAUACUAAGUUUAAAACUAGCAAAACAUUAAGUUUUUUUUUUGGGUCUUGGGAUUAUGGAAAUGGCUACAAAUGACCAAAUAAUUAAUAUCCAAAGUCCCAACUUCCGAACAUAUUCUACUACUAACAUCGAAACUAAAUUAGUUCUAACAUCUUGAGUAGCAAGCCACUAGGUAUUCGAACGAUCUUCGGUAGCAAGACACAAGGUAUUGGAUAUCUUUCCUCGUAUGAUUUAGAUUUCUUUUGUUGGAUACUACUCUUUUAAUAAGCUCUAUUCUUGAGUCCAACUUGAUUAUUAUCUUUCCACUUGUAUGGUUUAUAUUUCUCUUAUCUUUGCUUAUUUUGUUUUACGCUACCAUAGAAUAGUGCGAUGAAUCUCUAUGUUGGACAUCUUUCAUGCUCCGUAUUAUCACUUUGAAAUUAGUAAAAAUGUCUAGAGAGUUUUGUCAAAGUCCUAUGUAAGUACAUAUUUAUCGCAUUCUAACUUCGGAUAGCGAUUCUUGUAUGACGUUUUAAAAAAAAUACGGAAAUAUUAACCUGUUACGACCCAAAUACCUAACCAGUCGUGAUGGCGCCUAUCGUGGAACUAGGCAAGCCGACNNNNNNNNNNNNNNNNNNNNNNNNNUAUAUAUAUAUAUAUAUAUAUAUAUAUAUAUAUAUAUAUAUAUAUAUAUAUAUAUAUAUAUAUAGCCCGAAGGCUUGUUGCGGAGUACAACCCGAUCCAAUAAUUUAUAUAUAACCCGAAGACUUAUUGCGGCGUGCAACCCGAUCCAUAUACCUCACAGCUUGCAUCUCGGCACUUAGGCCGUAUCUCAGUCACUAACCUCUCUAGCCCUUCGGACUCACAAAAUAUCAUAAUAAUUAGCCCAAACAGAGAAUACAACAAGUAUCAACAAGAAAUGAGAGGGAACGAAGAUAUAACACACAGGUAAGACUGUGACUGAGUACACGACAUCAAUUAGCAGUCAAUUCAAUAAGUAUUCGACCACUGCGGGUCCCAACAGUGAUAUCAUAUGGCCUAAGCAUAGUUUCUAACAUGAAAGACAGUCAAUUGCUCAAAGACAUGAAUAAACAAGUAAUAACAAUGGCUAUUCGACUUUACAGUCUCACGGGAUGGACCAGGUCACAAUCCCUCACAGUGCCCGCUCACACGCCUGUCACCUAGCAUGUGCGUCACCUCCAAAUAUUCACAUCAUACCAAUUCUUGGGGUUUUAUACCCUCAAAACCAGAUUUAAGACCGUUACUUACCUCAACCACGCAGAAAGCCUACUCUGAAAUGCCUUUGCCUCUUGAAUCGGCCUCCAAAUGCCUCGAAUCUAGCCACAAACCGUACGAGAUAAUCAAUAUUGGCUAAAAGGAUCAAUUCCACAAGAAAACUACUAAGAUAUAGUCCAAAAUCCGAAAUCGGCUCAACCCUUUUCCCCCGGGCCCAUGUCUCGAAACCCGACGAAAGUCACGAAACCCGAAAUCCCAUUCACUCACGGGUCUAACCAUACCAAAUUUAUCAAAAUCCGACCUCAAUUGCCCCUCCAAAACCCCAAAAUUCACUCUCCAAUUCCCAAGCCCUAACUUUCCAAAUCUCACCUCAAACACUCACCAACUAGGUGUACAAUCAGUGGGGAAACACAAAUUAUUGAAGAUAAAUAGGCAUAAGGAACUUACCUCAGUGAUUAAUCCGAAAUCUCUCUCAAAAUCCCCAAAAUCCGAGCUCAAAAAUGAUGAAAAUGGUGAAAAAUCUCGAAGUCUUCUAUUUAUAGGUUCUGCCCAGCAAAACCGCACCUGUGGACCUCCUGUCUUAUCUGCGACGCCGCACCUGCGGAAAUUCCAUCACAGGUGCGGAUCCUACUAAAGUGCCCAGAUUCCGCAUCUACAGUCACAUAUUCGCACCUGCGGGCUCUGCCCGCUUCUGUGAUUCUUCCCACUCAGGCCUUACUCCGCAUCUGCGCCUCCCCUUCCGCAUCUGCGGUUUCGCAGAUGCGCUCCUAACAUCGCACUUGAGCUUCCAGUCCAACCCAGCCUUGCCCGCAUCUGCGUCCUCCUCUUCUCUUCUGGCCUCGCCGCACCUGCAGGCUCCCACCGCAGGUGCGAAAACACCAGCACAUCAGAAAAAACCAGCAAUGCCUAAGUCCAAAAUUCCUUCUGAUGGGCAUCCGAAAUACCCUGGAGGCCCCCGAGACCUCAACCAAACAUACCAACAAGUCCUAUAACCCGAUACGAACUUAGUCGAACAUUCGAAUACUUAAGACAACAUCGAAACACCAAUUACACCCAGAUUCAAGCCUAAAGAAUUUCUAAACUUUCAAAUUCCACAAACGAUGCUGAAACCUACCAAACCACGUCCGAUUGACCUCAAAUUUUACACACAAGUCAAAAAUGACACCACGAACCUAUUCCAACUUCUGAAAAUCCAAUCUGACCCUGAUAUCAAAAUUUUCACUGCCGGCCAAAAUCGCCAAAUUAUAACUUUUGCCAAUUCAAGCCUAAUUCUGCUACGGGCCUCCAAAUCACAUUCCGUACGCGCUCCUAAGUCCAAAAUCACCUAACAGAGCAUAACGGAACCGUAAAAAUUCAAAUCUGAGGUCGUUUUUCCACAAGUCGACAUCCGAUCAACUUUUCAAGCUUAAGCUUCCAACUAAGAGACUAAGUGUCUCAAUUCACUCCAAAACCACUUCGGACCCAAACCAACCAACCCGGUAAGACAUAAUACAGCUGUGAAGCGCAAAAGAAGCAGAAAUGGAGAAAACGGGGCUAUAACUCUCGAAACGACCGGCCGGGUCGUUACAUCAUCCCCCUCUUAAACAAACAUUCAUCCUCGAACGGGUCUAGAAACAUACCUAGAGUCUCAAAUAGGUGUGGAUAUCUGCUCCGCAUCUCCCGCUAGGUCUCCCAAGUGGCCUCCUCCACAGGCUGACCUCUCCACUGCACCUUCACUGAAGCUAUAUCCUUUGACCUCAACUUCCGAAUCUGCCACUCUAAAAUGGCCACCGGCUCCACAUCAUAAGUCAUAUCACCAUCCAACUGAACAGUGCUGAAAUCCAAAACAUGGGACGGAUCGCCGAUAUACUUUCGGAGCAUAGAAACAUGAAAUAUUGGAUGCACACUCGACAAGCUAGGUGGCAAGGCAAGCUUGUAAGCCACAUCCCCGAUCCUCUGAAGUACCUCAAAAGGCCCAAUGAACCGAGGGCUCAACUUGCCCCUCUUCCCAAACCUUAUAACACCCUUCAUGGGUGAUACCUUCAGCAGAACCUUCUCCCCAAACAUGAAAGAUACAUCACGGACCUUCCUGUCAGCAUAACUCUUCUGCCUAGACUGCGCUGUGCGAAGCCGCUCCUGAAUCAAUUUCACCUUGUCUAAUGCAUCCUGGAUCAAGUCUGUACCCAAGAGUCUAGCCUUACCCGGAUCAAACUAUCCCACCGUAGAUCUGCACCGCCUCCUAUAUAAAGCCUCAUACUGAGCCAUCUGAAUGCUCGACUGAUAACUGUUGUUAUAUGCAAACUCCGUGAGCGGAAGAAACUGGUCUCAUGAACCCCCAAUCGCGUAACAUGUCUUCCAAUAAUUGGAUAGUACACUCGGACUGUCCAUCCGUCUGAGGGUGAAAGGUUGUGCUCAACUCAACCUGAGUACCCAACUCUCGCUGUGCGGCCCUCCAAAACUGCGAUGUAAAUUGUGUGCCUCUAUCUGAAAUGAUGGAAACUGGGACACCAUGAAGGCGAACAAUCUCUCGGAUGUAAAUCUCAGUCAACUGGAAUGAAGUGCGCGGACUUGGUCAGCCGAUCCACAAUCACCCAAAUAGCAUCGAACUUCUUCGAAGUCCGUGGGAGCCUAACUAUGAAAUCCAUGGUGAUCUGCUCCCACUUCCACUCUGGGAUCUCUAAUCUCUGAAGAAAGCCACCCGGUCUCUGAUGCUCAUACUUAACCUGCUGAUAGUUGAGACACCGAGCCACAAACCCAACUAUAUCCUUCUUCAUCCCCCUCCACCAAUAGUGUUGUCUCAAAUCCUGGUACAUCUUCGCGGCACCCGGAUGAAUGGAAUACCGUGAGAUGUGGGCCUCCUCAAGAAUCAACUCCCGAAGCCCAUCCACAUUAGGCACACAUACCCGGCCCUGCAUCCUCAACAUGCCAUCAUCACCAAUAGUCACAUCUCUAGCAUUACCUAGCCGAACCCUGUCCUGGAGGACGAGCAGAUGGGGGUCAUCAUACUGACGCUCCCUGAUACGAUCAUAAAGAGAAGACCUAGAGACCACACAAGCCAAUACCGGACUAGGCUCCGAAAUAUCCAAUCUGACAAGCUGGAUAGCUAAGGCCUGAACAUCCAAUGCAAGGGUCUCUCUGCUACUGGAAGAUACGCUAAACUCCCCAAACUUUCCGCCCGACGACUCAAGGCAUCGGCCACUACAUUGGCCUUCCCAGAAUAGUACAGAAUGGUGAUAUCAUAGUCUUUGAGAAGCUCCAACCACCUCCGCUGAUGCAAGUUAAGAUCCUUCUGCUUGAACAGAUGCUGCAAAUUCCGGUGAUCAGUGUAGAUCUCACAAUAAAUCCCGUGCAGAUAGUGCCGCCAAAUCUUCAAGGUGUGAAUAAUAAUUGCUAACUCAAGAUCAUGGACAUGAUAAUUCUUCUCAUAGGUCUUCAACUGGCGCGAAGCAUAAGCAAUCACUCUACCCUCCUGCAUCAGAACACAUCCAAUACCUAUCCGCGAGGCAUCACAAUACAUUGUGUAAGAACCAGAAGCUGAUGGCAGAACUAGAACUGAGGCCGUGGUCAAAGCAGUCUUGAGUUUCUGAAAUCUCUCCUCGCACUCAUCCGACCACCUGAAUGGAGCACCCUUUUGGGUCAAUUUGGUCAAGGGCGAAACAAAAGAUGAAAAAUCCUCUACAAAACGACAGUAAUAGCCCGCCAAACCAAGAAAGCUCCUAGUAUCUGUGGUUGAGGACGGUCUGGGCCAACUCUGCACUGCUUCUAUCUUCUUCGGAUCCACCUGAAUGCCCUCACUGAAUACCACGUGCCCCAAGAAUGCCACUGAACCAAUCCAAAACUCACACUUGGAGAACUUUGCAUAAAGCUUCUCCUCCCUCAAUCUCUAUAACACAAUCCUCGGAUGCUGGGCAUGUUCCUCUUGGCUACGAGAGUACACCAGGAUAUCAUCAAUGAAUACAAUAAUGAACGAGUCCAAAUAAGGCUGAAACACACUGUUCAUCAAAUGCAUGAACGUUGUUGGGGCAUUGUUCAGCCCAAAAGACAUCACAAGGAACUCAUAGAACCUGUAGUCAAUGCACAUUCUCAUAGAACCAUCUUUCUUCUUUACAAAUAGAACCAGUGCACCCCAAGGUGACACGCUAGGCCGAAUAAACCCCUUAUCGAGGAGUUCUUGAAGUUAUUCCUUCAACUGCUUCAACUCUGCCGGUGCCAUACGAUACGGUGAAAUAGAAAUGGGCUGAGUGCCCGACACCAAAAUAAUACCGAAGUCAAUAUCCCUGUCAGGCGGCAUGCCCAGCAGGUCUGCAGGAAACACAUCCAGAAAAUCACGCACCACCAGAACAAAAUCAAUGGCAGGAGUCUCUACACUAACAUCCCUCACAAAAGCCAGAUAGGAUAGACAACCUUUCUCAACCAUUCGUUGAGCCUUCAAGUAUGAAAUCACUCUACUGGGAACAUAGUCUAUAGAACCGCUCCACUCAACUCUCGGCAACCCCGGCAUCGCUAACGUCACGGUCUUAGCGUGACAAUCUGAAACAACAUGACAUUGAGACAAUCAAUCCAUACACAAUAUCACAUCAAAAUCGACCAUACUGAGCAGCAAAAGAUCCACUCUGGUCUCCAUACCCCCAAUAGUCACCAUACAUGACCGAUAUACGCGGUCCAUAAUAAUAGUAUCACCCAUAGGAGUAGAUACAUGAACAGAUGAAAGUAAAGACUCACAGGACAUAUCCAGAAAAUAAGCGAAAUACGAGGAAACAUAUGAAUAAGUGGAACCAGGGUCAAAUAAUACAGAGGCAUCUCUGUGGAAAACUGAGACAAUACCUGUAAUCAUAGCAUCUGAAGAAAUGACAUCUGGUCUGGCAGGGAGGGCAUAAAAACGAGCCUGGCCACCCCCUGAUCUGCCUCCCCCUCUCAGGCGACCCCUAGCCGAAUGGGCUUCACCCCGGGCUGGCUGAGCGGGUGGUGGAGGGGCUGGUGAUGAUGACAUAGAAUGGCUCCUCUGUGGAGCAGGACCUCCCACUAUACGGGAACACUCCCUCCUCAUGUGACCAAACUCCCCACACUCAUAACAACUCCCCAGUGCUGGUGCAGGGGACUGAAGGGAGCCCCGAGCACCGGGAUAACUGGCAGAAGGACCUGGCAUCGACAAACCCUGACCCAAUGGAGCACGGGACAAACUCUGCGCUGGGAGGGCACCGGAGAUGAAUGGCCCUGCUGAUAACUAUGAGAACAAUGGCCAGAUGAUGCACCACGGUGACCUGAACGAGUCGUGUGAGCAUGUCUGAAAGGACGACCUCUACCGUACUGGAACUGACCCCUAGAAGGAGAACCACUAAAUCCUCCCUGUCUACAAGGCCUCUUGGCCUCCCUCUCAACCCUCUCCUGACUAUGAACCAUCUAAAUCUGACUAGCAAUGUCGACAACCUCAUCAAAAGUAGCACCAGACACUCUCUCUCUCUGGUCAUAAGCAAUCGCAAUUGAUAAGUGAGGCCAUCUAUAAACCUCCUGAUCCUGUCCCUGUCUGUGGGAACCAACCAGAUAGCAUGACGAGCCAACUCCGAGAAUCGCAUCUCAUAAUGCGUCACAGACACAUCACCCUGACGAAGCUGCUCAAACUGUCUGCGCAGCUCCUUUCUGUGGAACUGAGGCACGAACUUCUCCAGAAAGAUAACGAAGAACUGCUACUAGGUAAGGGGCGUUGCGCCGACCGGCCUACGCCUCUCGUAAGCCUCCCACCAACUGAAUCCAGCCCCAAAGAAUUGAAAGGUAGUGAACGAGACCCCACUGGUCUCCAGAAUACCUGAUGUACGAAGUAUCCUUUGACACCUGUCCAAGAAACCCUGUGCAUCCUCUCCCUCUGCACCACUGAAAGAUAGAGGCUAGAGUCUCCCAAACCUCUCCAAUCUACGUUGCUCAAUCGGCUAGGCUGGUGGUGCCCCUAGUGUCUGGAAUCUCUGUACCACCUGCUCUUGUGUGCGGGCAGUGGGAGUCUGAGCACCUCCUCUGGCCUGAGAAGUGGCUGCUGCGGUAGAAACAGAGACCGCCUGAGAAAGACUGGUACAUGCGGUCAGAAUUUGAGCUAAGGCCUCCUGAAGGCCUGGAAUCACAAUAGGCACAGGUGAUGCCUGAGCUGGUGCAUCAACAACUGGAAUCUGAUCCUGAUAUGAGGCAACUAGUGGAUUUGCAGGUACUGUCCCAGCUGAUGUGCGGGUUGCACCUCUGCCCCUACCGCGGCCUCUACCGCGACCUUGGACUCUCGCGGCCCUGGCUGGUGGUACUGGUGACUGUCCAUCCUGCCUGGUAGUACGAGUACUCACCAUCUGUGAGAGAAUGAAACAACAGAUGUUUAGUUACUCGAAUCAACAGAUUCACACGGCAAGAAUUCAAGAAUGUGGAGUUUCCUAAGGGUUCUGCAGCCUCUCGAAGAUAAGUACAGACGUCUCUGUACCAAUCCGCAGGACUCUACUAAACCCGCUCAUGACUUAUGAGACCUAUGUAACCUAGGUUCUGAUACCAACUUGUCACGACCCAAAUACCUAACCAGUCGUGAUGGUACCUAUCGUGGAACUAGGCAAGCCGACAUUCUAAAUAUGCUUUCAAUAUAUAACAGAAGUGAGCUAAAGCAAUUAAACUAACUGAAGGUUUACAUAAUAACGGAAUAAAAACUCAAAACACAAGUGCGGAAUGAUAGCCCGACAUCGGGGUGUCACUAAGUCAUGAGCAUCUAACAACCAAUCUAGAAACAAAGUCUACUACAUUCUGUGCCAAAUGCCAAUACAAGAGAGACAAGAUAAUAAGAAAGGAGAAACAAGAAUUGUGGUCGCCGGCAGCUACCUCGUAAGUCUCUCAUAAUCAGCUCGCGCACGAACUCAGCGACCGCCAGAACCGUACACACCUGGAUCUGCACAUGAAGUGCAGGGUGUAGUAUGAGUACAACCAACUCAGCAAGUAACAUAAUUAAACAAGGAACUGAGAAGUAGUGACGAUAAAAAAAUACAGAUCAUUUCAAAAGUUUUCAGUAAAGAGUGAACAUGCUUUCAAAUCCGGCGGUAUAAGUCAAAUCAGUUCGAACUCAAGUAAAACAGAUAUGAAUCUUCCAGGAAUUUCACGACAACAACAGAUAACAACUACGUGCAAUAAUAAAUAAAUGCAAGUACAACCUCUUAAGGCAGCAAUCACUCAACUCAUCUCAACAGCUCAUACUCUCGGCUCUCAGCCCUCAAUACACACUCUCAAUAGGUACAUACGCUCACUGUGGGUGUGCAGACUCUGGAGGGGCUCCUUCAGCCCAAGUGCUAUAUUGCUGCGGCGCACAGCCAGAUCCAAUAUUAUUGCGGCAUACAACCCGAUCCAAUAUUGUUGUAGCGUGCAACCCGAUCCAAUAAUAUAUAUAGUCCGAAGGUUUGUUGCGGCGUGCGACCCGAUCCAUAUACCUCACAGCUCGCACCUCGGCACUAAGGCCCUAUUUCAGUCACUAACCUCUCCAGCCCCUCGAGCUCACAGAAUAUCAUAAUAAUUAGCCCAAACAGAGAAUACAACAAGUAUCAACAAGAAAUGAGAGGGAACAGAGAUAUAACACACAAGUAAGACUAUGACUGAGUACAAUAUAGCAAUUAGUAGUCAAUUCAACAAGUAUUUGACCACUGCGAGUCCCAACAGUGAUAUCAUAUGGCCUAAGCAUGGUUUCUAAUAUGAAAGGUAGUCAAUUUCUCAAAGACAAGGAUAAACAAGUAAUAACAAUGGCUAUUCAACUUUACAGUCUCACGGGACGGACCAAUUCACAAUUCCUCAUGGUGCCCGCUCACACGCCCGUCACCUAGCAUGUGCGUCACCUCCAAAUAUUCACAUCAUACCAAUUCUCGGGGUUUCAUACCUUCAAAACCAGAUUUAAGACUGUUACUUACCUCAAUUGCGCAGAAAUCCUACUCCGAAAUGCCUUUGCCUCUCGAAUCGGCCUCCAAAUGCCCCGAAUCUAGCCACAAACAGUACGAGAUAAUCAAUAUUGGCUAAAAGGAUCAAUUCCACAAGAAAACUACUAAGAUAUAGUCCAAAAUCCGAAAUCGGCUCAACCCUUUUACCCCGGGCCCACGUGUCGAAACCCGACGAAAGUCACGAAAAUCGAAAGCCCAUUCACUCACGAGUCUAACCAUACCAAAUUUAUCAAAAUCCAACCUCAAUUGCCCCUCCAAAACCCCAAAAUUUACUUUUCAAUUCCCAAGCCCUAACUUUCCAAAUCUCACCUCAAACACUCACCAACUAGGUGUAAAAUCAGUGGGGAAACACCAUUAUUGAAGAUAAAUAAGCACAAGGAACUAACCUCAGUGAUUACUCCGAAAUCUCUCUCAAAAUUCCCAAAUUUCGAGCUAAAAAAUGAUAUAAAUGGUGAAAAAUCUCGAAAUCUUCUAUUUAUAGGUUCUGCCCAGCAAAACUGCACCUGCGGACCUCCUGUCGCAUCUGCGACGCCGCACCUGCAGAAAUUCCAUCACAGGUGUGGAUCCCACUAAAGCGCCUAGAUUCCGCAUCUGCGGUCACAUAUUUGCACCUGCGGGCCCUGCCCGCUUCUACGAUCCUUUUCACUCAGGCCUUACUCCGCAUCUGCGCCUCCCCUUCUGCAUCUGCGGUUUCGCAGAUGCGCUCCUAACCUCACACCUGCGCUUCCAGUCCAACCCAGCCUUGCCCGCAUCUGCGCUUCCAAUCCGACCCCGAUAUCAAAAUUUUCACUGACGGCCAAAAUCGCCAAAAUUUUAACUUUCGCCAAUUCAAGCCUAAUUCUGCUACGGACCUCCAAAUCACAUUCCGUACGCGCUCCUAAGUCCAAAAUCACCUAACAGAGCAUAAAGGAACCGUAAAAAUUCAAAUUGUUUUUCCACAAGUCGACAUCCGGUCGACUUUUCAAGCUUAAGCUUCCAACUAAGAGACUAAGUGUCUCAAUUCACUCCAAAACCACUCCGGAUCCGAACCAACCAAUCCGGUAAGACAUAAUACAUCUGUAAAGCACAAAAGAAGCAGAAAUGGAGAAAAUGGGGCUACAACUCUCGAAAUGACCGGCCAGGUCAUUACAUAACCGAACCGUACCGAUACCGAAGAGAAAUCGAGAUAAUUAAGACCGUUUUGAAAAGUCUAAUUUUGGUUAUACAUAAUGGAAUAACCGGAAAAUAGUAUGGUACAAAUUUUAUAAAUAACAGGACGAACCGAACCAUUGACACCCCUGCUUGUAUAUAAUUUAGAUAAAGAAUAAAUUUUGUUAAAUGGAAUACUGUAAUUUAUCAAUAUAUUUUUAAGAAUUUUUUUUCUAGUUAUUGAUCCUAAAUGCAUUAGGUAAACUUAAAAAAGAUAUGAUGCAUAAUAUUUAUUUAAGUAUCUUUUUCCUAUAAUAAACAUUCCCUCUAUUUUAAUUUUUUGAAUCUUUUCGGAGUAUGAAUGUUAAAUUGAUUAUUUUCGAUGUAAAUUUGGACAUAAAAUUGAAAUACUCUCAAAUACAUAUUAGAAACUACAUAAAAAAUACUCUCAAAUAAUAGUAGGUUAUUUUUUUUUUUUGAAACAAAGGGAAUAAAAUAAUAAAGCUGAUAGGACCAAUAGAAAGCACGAAACACGUGGAAGAGUAGUUGUAGAAAAGUAUUAGGUCAAAUAAAAAACUUAGCAAAGUGAUUCAAAUAAACAAACAAUUUUUUCAAAUAUCAACUUUCAAUAAUUGAAACUAUAGGAGAAUAUGCUUUCUUAUUUCCUAGUGAAAUAAGUCAUCCCUCUUUUAAUUUUCUUAUUUGGUGUUAGUUAGGGGUGUCAAUGGUUCGGUUCGGCCGAUUAUUUUAUAAAGUUUGUACCAUACUAAUUUUUCGGUUAUUUUAUUAUGUAUAGCCAAAAUUAGAUUUUUCGAAACAGUCCCAAUCAUGUCGGUUUCUCUUCGGUAUCGGUACAGUUAGGUUAAUUUUCGGUACUUUUUUUAAAUAUCAGGUAAAAAUCACUAGUAGAAGUAGAAUGGAAUAACAUACGUACUUUUAUAGGAUUUCGCAAAACUCUUUAUACAUUUUUAGUGUUUAAAAGGUGAUGAAUUAAGAAAACAUGAAAGAUGGCCAGAGUAUUAGAUCCAUCAACUAUUCUACAGCUGCAUAAAAGAAACUAAGCAAAGACAAAGAAAAUAUAAAUCACACAAAUGAAAAGUUAUUAACCAAGCUGGGAUUCAAGAAUAAAGUAUAUGGAAGAUUAAAUAUUCAAAAAGAUAAAUUUAAAUCAUACGAAAGGGAACAUAUUCAAUACAUUGUAGUUUGCUACUCAUAUUCGCUAGAAUACCUUGUGUCUUGCUAGCGAAUAUGCUAAAAAUAAUUUAGUUUCAAUAGGAGUAGCAUAAUAGUUUUGGGAAUUAAGAUUUUGAGUUUAAUUACUCGUUUGGCUUUUAACCAUUUUUAUAAUUCCAAUGCUCAAAAAAAUAUUUAAUGCUUUAUUAUUUUUAAACUUAAUAUAUAAAUAUAUUUUCUAUAUGUAAAUUUAUUCGGUAUGGUUCAGUAUUUUUUCGGUUUAGUUUCACAAAAUAAAAAAUCUACCCUAAUUAUCGGUACAAUUAUAGAUUUAUAUAAAAACCUAUGGUUUGAUUAGAAAAAUUUAAAAAUCGGUUCGAUACGAUACGAUUCGGUCGGUUUAAUCAGUUUUUAAAUAUCCAUGACAAUCUUAGUGUUAGUACCCUAUCAAUUAGAGCUUCAACUUAUUUAGAUUCGGGUUGAUCUAUUAAAAAGAGAAGUAUUCCCGAUUAAAAAAAUUCAUAUAUUGGACUUGAACCAAAUAACUCUAAUUAAUCCAUCUCACCACAAUCUUUAUGUUACUUUUUUACUUAUCAUGUUAGCAAAUGAUCAUGUCUCAAUCAUGUUUACUUAGUCCACAAUAAAUAUUUAUCUGAAACCAAACUCUACCUUCCUAAUAAGAAGUUUUGAGUUGAAGCUUGAAAAUGGAGUUUAUUUUUAUUACGAAACACUUUAUCCUUUGAAAUGAACUUUUUUUGGUGCAAAAUAACUAAUGGAUGCGAAUGAAAAGAAACAACAUCAACAUCAGUUGAUAAAAAUAAUAAAUUUCUGAAAUCAAGAAAAAAAUACUCCAAGUUCCAAACAACAAGAGACAGGUGUAACAUUCAACUGCCAUUUCUCUUUAUUGUUAAAAAAAAAAAAGAAGCUGUCCCAUUCUCGUUUCUCUGUCUUCUCAGUUAUUGCUCUCUUCUUAGUCAACCUUUUCUCAAGAAAAGCAAAAGCUUUCCCAAAGAUAAAUAUUUUUCUUAGCAUACUUCUAUGUUUUGAUCUCCCACAGAACAAAACAUACACUGCUGUUUUUGAACUGUUCAAGUCCUUUCUUGGAGUGUGGUUUAAGUGUUUUAAUUUUUUCUGUUUUCUAAUUUUUGUGAUUUAAAUUAAGAAAAAUGUUUGGGAGGGAGUGUUGCAGCUGGGAUAGUGUAUGUGAUUACUACAAUGUUGAACCACAGCGUUUUGAUUUGCCUUCACCCCUUCCACAAUGGCCUCAAGGUAUGUUUUGAAGUUUCUGGUUUUUUGGUAAAAAAUAUUUUUUUUUCUUCUCCAGUUGUCCUAUUAUCUUUAACAGAAGCUCUGUUUCAGUCAGUUCUCAGUUAUUUUGACUCUCUCUCUCUCUCCACACCCUUAGCAGUUCUAUGAUUGACUUUGACUGGGGCUAAGAAUGAGAAAUUGAUCUUCUUCUGUAUAUAUAAAGUUCACAUUUUUAUGUGCAAGAAUCUAUGAAAAGUGAAUAUUUCAGCAUUUAUGUGGAAAGGAAAACUUUGAAUUUUUAUUUAGCGAAGAAUUUACCUAAAUAGCUGCUCACCCAACCGCUUAUACUAGAAAUAGCCGGUCAAUGUAUAAUAUUAGUCCAUGUAUAUUAUAUGUAUAAUUAGUGUAUAGUUUAUUAAUACCGGCUAGAAAAAGUAAACAGUGAAUGGAAUUUGGGUAAAGGUCCCAUUUUUAAUCUGGAUAAUAAUUUUUUUUCUGGUGGUGGUGUUGAAAGUCCUUUUGUUUCUAUUUGUGUUUUGAUUUUUGGGUUGAGGAUGAGGAUCCUAUUAUUAAAAUGAUGUCCCAUUUUAAUAUAUGCUGACACAACAACAACAACAUACCCGGUGUCGUCCCACAAAUGGGUCUAGGGAGGGUAGAGUGUGCGCAGACGUUACCCCUGCUUUAAAAAGACAGAGAGGCUGUUUCCCUCGGCUUAGGAAGGAGAGAGGGGAGGGAAAUAUAUGCUGACACAAGGGGCCUAAAAACUACGUUGCUCCGAUACUUCAAAAAUGCUGCCGAGUGUGUGUUGGAUCGACAUGCGCGUGACAAUAUUUUUGAAGGAUCCGAGCAACAUAGCUAAAAACAAACACUUGACAGUAAAAAUUCUGCUAUAGUUUCUCAGUUUGCUAAUGGGAAUAUUGUCCUUGUAGGUAAAGGAUUUGCUACAGGAAAAAUAUGCCUAGGUGAAAUUGAAGCUGUUCAAAUCACAAAGUUUAAGAAAAUUUGGGGUUGUAGCCCAUUGUUUGGAAAAUCAAAAUCAGUCUCAUUCUAUAAACCAGAUGAAAUUCCACAAGGAUUUUCAAUUCUUGGCCACUACUGUCAGCCAGAUGGUGAGAACAUAACAGGCUGUAUUCUUGCAGUCAAAGAUUUAUCUGAUGAUCAGAAGCAAAAAAUUUCAUUUCGAGAUUCGACUUCCAAGCUUCCUGCUCUUAAAAAGCCAUUGAACUACACUUUAGUGUAUAGCGCGAACUCCCUUUAUAAUGAAACUGGUUACAUUUGGCUUCCUAAUGCACCAGUUGGUUAUAAACCAAUGGGCUUUGUGGCUACUGCUGAACCUAAUGAACCAAAUCUUGAAGAAGUUAAAUGUGUCCGCGCUGAUCUUACAGAAAGUUGUGAGGCUUGUGAAGUUGUUUUUAGUUCAAAUUCUCUUUUUCCAAAGAACCAAUUUCAAGUUUGGAAAACAAGACCCUGCGCGAGGGGCAUGUUGUGUAAAGGGGUUUCGGUUGGGACAUUCUUUUGCAGUACAAGCUUCACUAAAGGAGAUGAACUCAACAUUGCAUGUUUGAAAAAUCUUGAUUCAUCUCUAAAGGCAAUGCCCAAUCUUGAGCAGGUUCAUGCACUUAUUAAGCACUAUGGACCAACUGUUUACUUCCAUCCAGAUGAAAUUUAUUUGCCCUCAUCAGUUCAAUGGUUCUUCAAAAAUGGAGCCCUUCUAUUUAAAGAUGGGAAGGACAAUGGUAUAGCGAUCGACUCUAAAGGCUCAAACUUGCCAGCUGGAGGACAAAAUGAUGGUAAAUAUUGGCUUGAUUUGCCGAAUAAAGAUGUUGAAAAUAGGCACACUGUCAAAUGUGGUAAUAUUGAGACCGCGGAGCUCUAUGUGCAUGUUAAACCGGCUGAAGGAGGAACGUUUACUGAUAUUGCAAUGUGGAUUUUUUGCCCCUUUAAUGGACCGGCCACCCUUAAAAUAAGUUUGUUGAAUCUAGCCAUGAAUAGAGUAGGCGAGCACGUUGGUGAUUGGGAGCAUUACACUCUUCGUAUUAGCAACUUUUCAGGGGAGCUCUGGUGUGUCUAUUUCAGUGAGCAUAGUGGUGGUGAAUGGGUUGAUGCUCGUGACUUGGAGUUCAUCGAUGGGAACAAGCCAAUUGUAUAUGCAUCAAGAAAUGGACACGCGAGUUUCCCACAUCCUGGCUGUUACCUUCAAGGCAUUACAAAGAUUGGUAUCGGAGUGAGGAACGAUUGUGCAAGAAGCAAAUACUAUAUUGACUCGAGCAGUAAAUAUCAAAUUACCGCCGCUGAGUAUCUUGGAGAAGGAAUUGUUGCAGAACCGCCUUGGCUAGAGUACAUGAGGGAAUGGGGUCCAACCAUUGAAUACAAAUCAGGAUAUGAAGUUGACAAGAUAAUCAACCACCUUCCUUCUUUUUUUAGAAUUUCAAUGGAGAGUCUUGUUGAGCUAUUUCCAACUGAACUUUAUGGUGAAGCAGGGCCAACAGGACCAAAGGAAAAGAAUAACUGGUUUGGAGAUGAAAGGUGGUAGGUAAAGGCGAAUCCAGGAUCUAAAAUCAAUAAGUUCAAAACAAGUAUGGUCUUAUCAUAUGAACACAUUUUAAUUUUUGUUGCAUAUGUAUACAUGCUUCGAGCAAAAAACAAUAGGUUCAUUUGAACUCUCGGAUCCACCUCUAGUGGAAGGUCUUUCAGUGGUGGUUUUGGAAUUCUUAGAAUUGCUCAAUGUUGUGCAUGAGUUGAGCAGCUAUUUGUAUUAUGUUCAAUCCCCAGUAUUUCUUGUAUAUGGAGAGGAGGAAGCUAUUAUAAGCAGUACAAAGUUAAGGUUCAAGUGAAGAACCAUUCUUUGUCAGUUAUAUUUAAGUCCAAGCCAGUAUGAUUGACAUUGGUUGAUGAUCAAGUCCAACUGCUUUGCAACUGUAACAGCAGUUAUAAAUGUAUAUGGUUCCUGCAUUAGUUUGUAGGUUGUAUUAUGUGCAAAAACCAAGAGAUUUAGAAGGCAAAGUGGGGGAAAAGCAGGAAGGCUUGAAACUGUGAGAGAAUGUAAAAUUAGACUGUUAUUGCUCUUUGUGUGAAAUUAAAACUCUUGAAACCCUUUAUGUCCAAUAGAUAUUUUCAAGCUUUUACAACUGGUUUGAAUGGUUGUUGCCUAUUGUAUUCUACCGUAUUGUUAUUUUAAACAUAAUAUUUAUUUUGGUUAAUACUUAAAUUUUAUUGUAUCAUAUUGUUAAAUUCGUCGUUACGUAACGAUAAAAAGUACCACUUUAUGUAACGACCGAUUUGACAUCGUCUUCCCCUUUCUUAUUAUUAAAUAAUCCUAUUUUAUUCUUUACUCUAUUUUUAUGUAAUAAUUCUACCCCGUACCUUAUUUUUUCUUUGUAAUAUUGUAAGUUUAUUCUUCAUAUUGCCGAUGCAUGAAACGACGACAAACAAUACAUGUUUCAUUAUUCUUGAAAUUGUUGAUUUGAGGCUGCUAUCCAAAAGUAGCAAGCAAUUUGUCUUCAUAACCAGCAAGUGUAUAUCCAUAGGACAUAACUAAUGCUUCCAACUGUCAUUGGCCAAAGAACUAAUCACAAUAGCCAUUCCAGAUUUACUGUUAUUAGUUACUAUUUCGGUUUUCUAUUAGUGGUUUUAACCAGUGUUUUAAAAGACAUUUCUGGGACUCGCUCGGGGCUCGACCCUGGGCGGGGCACUUGCAAAACGCCCUGGGGCUCAUGUAUGGGGCUUAGUUCUGUGAGGCUUACGUCCCAAGCGCCCGACCGUGCGCCCUAAACACGCCUAACGCCCAACGUUCGGGGCUCGCCUAACAGUUUUAACGCAAAUCACGUGUUAAAUUUCCUAAUUAAUAUCGCUGACCUUCAAAAUUCUUUAACAAAUUAAUGAUAAAAGUUCUAUUCAUCGAUAGAAAUAUGAAGAUUGAGCAUAACUCUAAUAAUGAGACAUAGUAUUGCGAAUUUAUAUCUUCACUUGUUAUUAGUCGUGUCUUAGUUCAUUUGUCCCUCCUUGUUAUACACUUUUAUUAAUAUGAUAUCUUAAACUAAUUUGUAUUUAUUCAUAAAUGAGUAAUAUUUUAAUUAUCGCACUAAUAAGAUUUUAUUAAUUAUUUACUUUUAGGAAGGUAAAAUGUGGAGUUUCAUCAUUUUUUUUUUAAAGAAAUUGUAAGUUUUUAAUUAUUUGAAAGUUAAAGACGUUAUAUGUGAUUUGUAUGCAUUAGUUAUACUUAAGAAUUAUGCUAGAUAUUUUUUUUCUAUGAGUUCCUUUAAUUUUUUUUUUUAAUUUUUAACUUUUAAUUAAUAUUUUAUAUUGUUUUGUGUUAUUAUGUUAUUUUAUUAAUUUAUAAAUUAAAAUUUUUAAAGAUCCAUGAGACUUACGCCCCCCCUCCAGGCUUACGCUUCGCCCCAUAUCAAGUAAAAUGCCCCGCUUCAAGCCUCCGCCUUUUAAAACAUUGCUUGUAAGUAGCAUAUAAUAGAUUGUUUGACUAGUUUUUUGUGAGGAUGAAGCGUGCGUGCGCGCGCGCGCGCACACACACAUAUAUACAUUUCACAUAUUUAUAGUUUUCUUCAAUUUUUAUGCAAUUUUACCUGUUUAUAAAUAUUUACUAUCAUUAUAUUAUUUUACAAAAUAUUAAAAAUUAAAUACCUAUGGGGCUUACGCCCCGUGCCUCGGGGCUUAUGCCUCGUUAAGACAUAUGUAAAAUGCCUCGACUUAUGCCCCACGCCUUUUAAAACACGGUUUUAACUAUGACGCCUCAAUUCGAUCUAAUUACUGGUCCCAAUAACAUAAUGAGAAAAGCCCACUUUGAUUGUGCAUUUCAUAACUUUCUUCAUGUGGGGCAAACCCUUACAAUCUAGUCGUAGAGUAUUAUACAUGUUAGAUUGUCGAAUGGUACAAAGUACAUAAAGUUCUUGAUCUAUUAUUUUAAUUUUAAUGUAUAGUGUUAAGUAAAAUGACUACAAAUUUAUGGGAAUUAGCUCAAUGAUUAAAAACCUUUGUCCCCUCUUCUCAUCAUUACUUUACAAUAUAUAUCCCCAAAAAGAAUGACAUAAUACUUGUAUAAAGCAAACCUAUAUAGUCUGCUAAUACUUUCUUAUUGGCUUCAUUAUGAUAAAUAAUUGUCUCGUGUUGAAUAAAUUUGUUUUUGUUUUCGACAUACUCUUGAUGGAGGAUGAUUUAAUAUCAACAAGUAAAGAAGAUGCCGGAGGAGUGGAGGUGAAGUACGGUGGUUCCGUUAUACAAGAACAUAGGUGAUAUUCAGAGUAGUAACAAUUAUAGGGGUAUCAAAUUACUGAGUCAUUCCAUGAAAGUUUGGGAGAGGGUUGUAGAAGUGAGGGUGAGGAGGACGGUGUCUAUUUUAGACAACCCGUUCGGGUUCAUGCCGGGGCGUUCUACCACGGAAGCUAUCCACCUUAUUAGGAGAUUGGUGGAACAGUACAAGGAUAUGAAGAAGGAUUUGCACAUGGUGUUUAUUGAUCUGGAGAAAACGUAUGACAAGGUUCCUAGAGAGGUCCUAUGGAGAUGCUUGGAGGCAAAAUGUGUGUCGGUUGCUUACAUUAGAGUGAUUAAGGAUAUGUAUGAUGGAGCUAAGACUCGAGUUAGGACAAUGGGAGGCGACUCAGAGCAUUUUCUGGUUGUUAUGGAGUUACACCAAGGGUCUGCGCUCAGCCCAUUCCUAUUUGCCCUAGCGAUGGAUGCACUGACACAUCAUAUUCAAGGGGAGGUGCUAUGGUGUAUGUUAUUUGCUGAUGACAUAGUGCUGAUUGAUGAGACGCGAAGCGGCGUCAACGAGUGGCUGGGGGUUUGGAGACAGGCCCUUGAGUCUAAGGGUUUCAAGUUGAGCACGACUAAGACGGAGUACCUAGAGUGCAAGUUCAGCGUCGAGCCGAUGGAAGCGAGAUUGGACGUGAGACUUGAAUCACAGGUCAUCCCCAAGAGGGACAAUUUCAAGUACCCUGGGUUAGUUAUUCAGGGGGAUGAGGAGAUUGGCAAGGAUGUCACACACCGUAUAGGGGUGGGGUGGAUGAAGUGGAGGUUAGAAUCUGGAGUUCUAUGUGACAAGAAAGUGUCACCGAUUCUCAAAGGUAAAUUUUAUAGAGCGGUGGUCAGACCGGCCAUGUUGUAUGAGGCUGAGUGUUGGCCAGCUAAGAACUCACAUAUCCAGAAGAUGAAAGUAGCUGAAAUGAAGAUGUUGAGGUGGAUGUGCGGGCAUACUAAGAUGGAUAAGAUUAGGAAUAAAGAUAUCCGGAAGAAGGUGGGCGUGGUUCCCAUGGAUGAGAAGUUGCGGGAAGCAAGGCGCAGAUGGUUCGGGCACGUUCAGAGGAGAAGCCCGAGCCGGUGAGGAGGUGUGAGCGGCUGACUUUGGUGGGUACGAGGAGAGGUAAAGGGUAGCCUAAGAAGUAUUGGAGAGAGGUGAUCAGGUAGGACAUGGUGUGGCUUCAGAUUACCGAGGACAUGGCUCUAGACAAGAAGUUGUGGAGGUCGAGCAUUAAGGUUGUAGGGUAGGAGGUAGUUGUACAUAUUUCUACGGCGCACCAGAGUGAGGCUAGUCUGUUAGGAUUUAGUCUUAGACUGUUAGUAGUUAAUGUUGAGUCACACUACUUUUUCGUUCCUUUUAGUGCCGAGCUGUAUCUACUGGUUAUUGUUUUGCUGUUCAUCUAUUUUCUGGUUCUGGUGAUGCUGUUAUUUGUUUCAUUUUUUCUUUUGAUGGUACUGAUAUAUUGCCUCUUUUCGUCUUCUUGAGCCGAGGGUCUUUCGGAAAUAACCUCUCUACCCCUUUGGGGUAGGAGUAAGGUCUGCGUAUACGCUAUCUUUCCCAGACCCUAUUAGUGAGAUUUAACUGGGUUAUUGUUGUUGUAAGUAAAGGGAAAUAAGGAAAUUAUUUGAUACCUACUACCGACAUUAAUUCAAAUUGUGUUCGAUGUGUUGGAAGAAGGAUAGUUAUAUUAGUUCGGCAUAGUUAAAAGAUGUCUCGAUACAAAAUUCUCACAAAACUCAAUGAAUUAUCGUUUAUUCAUCUCAUCGUACUUUACGGAAUCAAUCGUCUUAUCAACGUAUACAUAAAUACAUACCGAGGAAGAAGAGUGGUAUCGUGCUUUUUGAUAAUAACGUUAAUAAUAGUAAGCCAAAUAGUGUCAUUCUUACCUAAAAAAGAAGUCCGUCCUCAAUAAAAAGUAACAUGAAUCUCAAUAAAAAAUAUAUAGACAAAAGAUUUGCGCAAUCUUAUUUUUUUUAUUUACAACAAUUAACAUUCAAAUAUUUUAUAACAGUAGUAUACAAGUCAGCAGAAACAAAUUUCGAUUAUGCUAUUGAAUACUUAUAUACUUAAUAACUUUAUUUACCAAAAAAAUAAUAAUUACGUAAUUGUUAUUUCUACUGAAUUUCGAAUCUUGAGCUCUAAUAGUCUACAAUUAGUUUUAUCACCACUAAACCAUAGUCUACGAUUAGUUUUAUCACCACUAAACCAUACUUUUGGAUCAUAACUUCCAUUAGCAUUAACAAUAGAAAUUAGAAGAGUGUCGUUCUUACCUAAAAAAGAAAUUCGUCCUUAAUAAAAAAAAGAAGUAAUAUUGAUGUCUAAAUAUUAAUCCGAAUUGAUAUGAUUCUCAAUAAUGGACAGAUAUAUUAGAGAUUUAUGCAAUCACAUUUUUCUCCUUUGCAACGGUUCCAAUUUAAAUUAUUUUGUAAUUAUAAUAUACAGGUCAGCUUACACAUAUUUUAAUUAUUUCACUGCAUACUUACAUACUAAGUAACUAUAUAAUAAGACGAAGUUACAUAAUUUUUUAUCUCUGCUAAAAUUCGAACCUUAGUCUCCAUUGGUCUUUAUUUUGUUUUAUUAACCAUUAGAACAUUAGAUUAUUUUCAAAUAAUUUAAUGCUAAAAUUAUACAAUUUAUAAUAUUUAUGUCCAAAAAUUCUCAUAAAAAAAAUAAAUUUGUUGUCAUUGUUGACUCUUGUCCGCCUACCUUGUCACUUUAUUUGGACAGAGUCAUUAUCAUCAUCCCCUUACUAUUUAUAGAACAUCAAUUCCAAAACCAGUAAAAAUCAAAUUCAAGAAAACACCAUUCUUUUCUCCAAGUCCAACAAAUUUCUCCCAUCACCCACAAACCCCUUCUACUUCUUCUUCCCCCUCCCCCCCCCUAAAACCACCAACAUCCUUUACCAUUACAACAAUGGCUGCAGUUCCCAUAGAGGAAAGUGUGGAUAUAGCAAGAAAGUGUUGGAUCAAAUUCAAGAAAGAGUCAAUUCUUGCACUUUACACUCCAUUUAUUGUUUGUUUAGCUUCUGGGACUCUAAGGCUUGAAACUUUCCAGCAUUACAUAGCUCAAGAUUCUUACUUCCUCAAAGCCUUUGCUCAAGCGUUAGUUUCUUUACUUUACUUUCAUUUUUAGAAAAAAAAAUUUACUCCUAAUUUGUUUUAUCAUUUUUAGUGCUUAAGUUGCAAUUCUUCUUGAAUCAAAAGGGUGAAAAGAUAUAUACAUUUCUCGGAGUGGUAGUUUUCUUGUUCUUCUUUUUACCCUUAAUCUUUGUGUAGGGGAUAAUGUUUCAAGAAAUGGUAUAUUUGAUUAUGUAAUUUUUGUAGUUUAUUUUGUUUGAUGCUAAUUUAAGACAUAGUAAUAGAGUGGAAUGAAAUGAUUUAGUAUCAGAAUGAAAUGGAUUUAAUAAGCGGGGGAUUAAUUUAGAGGAUUUAAUUUGGGAUUGAGAUAUAAUUAAUUUAUGUGGUUUAAUGAAUAUGCAAGAAAAUAAUUAAUUUAUGUUAUGCCUUUUUUUUUUUUUUUUUUGCGGAGUGUGGUAUGGUUACUUAUGGGGAAAGAUUAUUGGUUACUGGAAGGUUUUCUACUAUUUAUACUACUUGUAUAUGGAUUUUUUUUUGCCAUUUAUUAUAAAGCUAUAUUACUUUAUAAUUUUUUUUUAUUGGUUUGUGGGGUCUCUCUUAGAAAAUCUUGAAAAUCUAUGAUUGGAAAAGAUGUCUUUAUAUUUCUUGUCACAAGAUGAUGCAGGAUUUUUGGGGUCUAGUUGGUUUUGAUACUUUGUAUUGGUACUGAUAAAUGUAGGAGUGAGGACAAAUGAUUGAGAUAUUUGGUAGGGAAUAAGUUUGUUUUUACCAUGGGUUUUGAUAGUUACAUGUGUAUUAGUUGUUUUAUACAUUUACUCCAAAAUGAAAGUUUCUUGCAGGUAUGAAGCUGCAGAAGAGUGUACUGACGAUGAUGAUGCAAAGGUCGGCAUUAAUGAAUUGCGGAAGAAUGUCAUCGAAGAACUCAAAAUGCAUGAUACGGUUAUUCAAGUGAGAUACAAUUAAAACUUUUCUUCUUUCUCUUGUUCACCUUUCAUUCUAGUUUCUCAUCACACUUGUUUGUAAUUGGGACUACUGUGCAUUGGUUGCCUGCUGCUUAUUUUAACAUAUUAAGCGACUUUUAGUUUCUAUAGGUAUUUUCGUUAGAGUUAUAAUUAUUGAAUUUAUAUAACUCUCUGGUGGUUUUUUGAUAAAAUAGUUGACUCUAUAUAACAGGUGGUUUUCCGAUGGUUCUCAUCUUUGAUCGAAAUAAUUGUAAUACUGUUUUCAUUGUGGGAGUAUACUGGCGUAGCAAACUUGUGAUCUUUAUAAGACUUCGUACUGAGUCGUUUAACUAAAACCUCUGUCUGAAUUACACUCACAAAGGAAUGUGGAAGCCUUUUUAGAGUUUAAUCAAGUCUAUCCAAUUUGAUGAUGGAACAAAAAGGAAAGAAGUUAUUUAAAACAUGGGCUUUUGCUGAAAUAGUUAGCUGUAGACAAAGCGGACCUUGCCCUUUUUUUUAAAUACAGAAAAGAAUGAGUGCAUUCUUAACUGUCAAAUGGGCUAUAUAUCAAGAGACUAUCAGGAAUCUAGUGCCAGUGAGAAGUUUGAUGUAAAAUAUUUUUAGAUUUCAGUCUUUAAUGUUCCUAACAUAAGUUAUUAUCAGUAGUUUUGAACUUUUGAUAUUGUCUGUUACAAAUUUCUGUCGAUGCUUCCCGUCUCUUCUGGCUCUAGCUUUGAUACCAUGUUAAGAAAAAUAAACUUUGGACCUAACUCAAAGUCAUGAUGUUGAGUCACCCAAUAUGAGGCCCCAUUUUAUGUAGUCCAGCUCAAAUGUCUAGGUCUAGGCAUGCGAGGAGUUCUUAGAGUUUCACAUUGGUUGUGGGGGAUGCUUCUUGUCUUGUAUCGCUAUGUUCACUCUUAAGUCUAUGAGCUCCAAAAGACAAGGUUAAACGAGGUUAAGAAUGGGUAGAGGACGGAAUAAUAAUGAGUAGACAAACCAGUGUGGUUUUCCUGUGUGGAUAUUUCAUAGAUUGAAUUGGUAGAAGAUCUGCCCCCUCCUUUUUGGGACGGCAAGCUAGUGAAGGCAAGUGAGGAAGAUGUUAAAUGAAUGGACCAACUUCUCAAAGAACAUGCUAUCGUUAUGCAAAUAUCUUCACUGUGUUCUAUUCUGUAAAGCCUCUGGAUAAUUCAUUAUUCUACUCCAACACAUUUCCUACUACGAUUUAGACAAUAGGAUCAAGUCCGUGCUGAAUCUUCAGUUGAUUUAUCUCAGUGGACUCUCAAUAGCUAACAUCUUGUGCUGCAAUUUUGUUUAUAUACGUGCUGUUUACUCAUUGCGUCUAUAGCACAUCUGAAGGGCUACUCAUCUAGUUAUACUUUGAUUUCCCAUUUAAGGAGAUUGUUGUCAUCUGCAACUACUGUGAUGAUUGUUAUCUUAUGAUAUUACAACUCAAGUGCUAUAUGUAUAUAUCAAAGUAUUUCCAAGUUAUCUUUAUAUUUCCCGUAAUCUCUCAUGAGCAAAUAAAUCAUGUUGUAAAUCACUAUUAGGAGUGGGGCUUUGAUCCGGCCAAGCAGUCUACGCCCAACCCUGCAACAGUCAAGUACACAGAUUUCUUAUUGGCUACAGCCUCGGGAAAGAUUGAAGGAGUAAAAGCUGCUAAACUUGCUACUCCAUUUGAGAGAACUAAGUUGGCAGCUUAUAUCCUUGGCGCUAUGAUUCCUUGCAUGAGGCUUUGUGCCUACCUUGGUAAAGAGCUGCACGUGUUUCUUGAGAGCGAAACAACUCAUCCUUACAAGAAGUGGAUCGACAGUUAUGCUUCUGAAGGUUUCCAGGUUCGUGGCUUGUUUGUUCCUUGCUCAUGAAUUCAGCUUUUGUAAGAUAAACACAAUGUGAUAACUCACGUACUUUGUUUAGGGACUGACUCUGCAAAAUGAGGAAUUGUUGGAAAAACUAAGUGUCUCUUUGACAGGCGAGGAGCUUGACAUAAUUGAGAAGCUUUAUCAACAAGCAAUGAAACUUGAAUUAGGCUUCUUCUUAGCGCAGCCAAUUGAUCAGAAAUCCGUCAUCCCUCUGUCAAGAGAGCACAGUCCUGCUGAACACCGGCUUGUGAUAUUUUUCAAUUUUGAUUUGACCUGCGCGGUUGUUGACUCGUCAGCGAUCUUGGCAGAAAUUGCAAUUAUGUCGGCACCAAAAUCUGGUGAAAAUCAACCAGAGAAUCAACUUGUUCGAAUGUUGUCAGCAGAUCUGAGAAGUACAUGGGAACAUCUCUCUAAGCAGUAUACCGAAGAAUAUGAGCAAUGCAUAGAGACGAUGUUGCUUACUGAGAAAGGUAUACUCUUUAUUCAUAAUCUUUUGUUGUUGUUUGUCAGUGUAACUGAAAUGAAUUUAAACUUCUGAGAAAUUUAUUUCUACUUCACAGUUGAAAAUUUUGAUUAUGAAAGGCUGCAUAAAGCGCUUGAGCAACUUUCAGAUUUUGAGAAAAGAGCUAAUUUGAGGGUGAUAGAAUCUGGAGUACUGAAAGGUCUGAACUUUGAAGACAUAAAGCGAGCCGGGGAGCGGUUGAUUCUCCAAGAUGGUUGUAACAACUUUUUCCAGAGCAUAAUACAAAAUGAACAGUUGAACGCAGACAUUCAUGUCCUCUCCUAUUGUUGGUGUGGUGACCUUAUGAGGUCUGCCUUCUCAUCAGGUAUUUCCUUGCUGUUAAGAACUUUGAAAAAUGGAUUUAGUCGGAAAAUAUGGCCGUUGGUUAUGUUUUGGUUUUACAAACUGAGUCUUCUGUUGAGCUAUCACCAUUUGUAUGAUGUGUACUCCUCUUUUGUCUUUCUGAAAACUUGUUCUUUUCAUAGCUGCUAAUGCGGUGGGUCCCUCUUUUAGUUUUCAAAUUAAUGGUAGUAAUACUUUUCUUGCCGUGUGUUGAACAGGGGGUUUGGAUGUUCUGAAUGUGCAUGCAAAUGAGCUUAUAUUUGAAGAAAAUCUAUCCACUGGUGAAAUAGUUAAGAAAGUUGAGUCCCCCAUCGACAAAGUUCAAGCCUUCAGUAAAAUCUUAAAUAGCUGCAGCAAUGACAAAAAGAAUCUGACAGUUUACGUAGGGGAUUCAGUGGGCGAUUUGCUUUGCUUGCUGCAAGCAGAUAUUGGGAUUGUGCUUAGUCCAAGCUCAAAUCUGAUGAAAGUGGGGAAUCAUUUUGGUGUUUCUUUUAUUCCGCUAUUUCCUGGCGUCGUUGAGAAACAGAAGAUUUGUGCUGCAGGAAACUCAUCUUGUUGGACGGAGGCCUCUAGCGUUCUCUAUACCGUUUCUAGCUGGGCAGAGAUUCAUGCAUUUAUAUUGGGGUCGUAGAACCUUCUUUCAACAUGCAGAUUCACCGUGUUAAUUAGGACGUAGAGAAAUUCAUAUAUAGUAAAAUCAUACAUACAGCUUGGUGGCAAGUUUUAUUGCAGUCCACAGAUAAAGGUCUGUUUUUUUUGUUUACAGGGUCAUCUCUUCAGAAAUGUAAAUCUGAUUCUUUUGGCUGGAGAUUCUAUGCAACUACUGCACUGCUCAAUAUGGUCAACUGUAGGAUGUUAAAUGGAAAUUUUCCUUUUUUCCCAAGAAUUUUAUAUUUCUUGGUGAAUGGUUCUUUUCAGAAACGAGUAACAUGAAUGAAAUUGUUGUGUGUUCAACAAUAUUAUACAUAAUUGUUACAGAUUCUUGCUGUUUAACUUUUACCUUGCAAUAAUGCAGCAACUUUUAGCUAUUGAAAACAAGUACUACAGUAUAAUGCAUAAGACAUUCUAUAUUCAGUCAUAUGGUUAUUGUCUCCUUUUCGUAUUGUUUACAUGUGAGCUUAACUUCUAUAAACUAAAAGUAUAAAAAAAAAAUUACGCUAUUAGGUCACCUAAAAAAUAACUAUAUUUGAUUGUCCAUAAAAAGUGAGAUUAGAAACCUCGAAAGUAAGACAUGUUAUUUGUUGUGAUAGGUUAAAGUACACUGAUCAUGUAAAUUUCAAUACAUUAAAUCAGUUACAUAUAUAUUUUGCUGUCAAUCGAGUGGUAUAGUUAAGAGAAACCAGCAAACCAUAUGAAUAUUAUGAUGCAUUUUGGAAAACUGCAUGAAAUUCAUUUCUAGUAUUAUUACUAUAAUAUCAUAGAGAAUAUAACAAAAUAGGGUAAUGAUGUGUCAACUAGUCACGGAAUGAUAAACGGCAUCGUCAAAGGACUUAAGUUAGAUAAUUAACAGUGUAAAGAUAUUUUACAUGUCAAUAUAGUUUAACCUUUUCUAGGUCACCCUAUGUAGACUUUCGGCUACGGGUUCAACUGAAUUCAUAAUUUUUGACGCGAAAUAUAGGUUUGUAUGUAAAAACCUACUAAAAUUUUAACAAAUAUUAGAUUUGAACUCAUAAUCUUAACAAUACAUACUUCCUAUGUUUCAUUUUAUAUGACAGUCUUUCCUUUUUACUUUGUUACAAAAAGAAUGAUACAUUCUUAUAUUUGAGAAUUCUAACGUUAAACUACUCAUUUUACCCUUAAUAAUUAAUAUAGUCUUAUAGUCAUAGAAAUAUUAUAGCAUGUUAAGACCACAAAUUCGAACGGUACAUUUGGUAAAAAAAAUUCGUUUUCAAACUCAGUGUUAAAUCAAAACAUUGUUAUAUAAAAUGACAUGAAAGGAGUAAUAUUUAUCAGAAAAAUUUAUUUAUAAAUACAUUAUAAUUAACAUAAUUAUGUGUAUUAUUUUUACUAUCAUUGCAUAAAAUUAUUUUAAACGAGAAAAAUCUUCAGCCGCCAUGCCCACUUAGUGAACCAAUUGAAAAGCUAUACUCAUCUCUCUCCUAGAAAAAAGAUGUAGGGUCAAACAUACUUAUUUUCAUAUGAAUUUGAACUCUAAUAUGGUGGGGACUGUAUGUCUAAUUCUAUAAAGGCCUAAAUCAAGAAAUUUCUUUCUACUAUUCCCUCUCCCACCUACCCAAAUUUUCAAUUACACAGAUAAUCCUUGUAGGUAGAAACCUUGGGGAUUAAACUUGAAAUAUUAAUUAAUUGUUUCUAAGACAAGAUGAAGAAAGAUAUUAUAAAAUAGUUAUAUAGAAGGAAUUUUAAAUUGUUAUCAGAUUGUGAUCGAGAACAUAAUAAGUAUUUCAUAUAUAUGGUUUUAAUUUAAAUAAACAACUUUUCAGAAAUAAUGAGUCUUAGAACUUUUUCACAAUUAGGUAAUCCCUAAUUUAUGUUAUAGUUCAAAGCUUUUUUGUUAUGUGGGAAUUAAGUAUGAAAGAAAUUUACUUAGUCAGUUGUCACAAGGUAAACAAAAAGGUUGAUGAAAUUUAAGUUGGCCUAGCCUAGAAUAUUAUAUAUACUGAAUUGUCCAAUCUUUUUUUCUUGUCUAGUGGAUAAAGAUUCAUUUUUAUUGUCCCUACAUAGAGUGUAGGGUGGGUGGGAUUAUCCAUUACCGUAGGACCCACCAAUUUUUUUCUUUUAGAAAAAGACAUAGCAUUGAUCACGCGAUCGAUGGUGUGACGUAAAUAAUCUAUCCUAAUAUAAGUAUCGGUAUUACUUGAAUUAUAAAAUUUUUUAUGAUUAGUAAUCUGAAAAGUAUGACAACUCAUGUAACAAACUGAAAAACAUUAACAGUAUAAAAUUAUAGAAUCAGUGCAGCUUUUAUUAACAAAUAACAAUUCAUGAAGAUCCAAAACCAAAAAUAAAAAAAUAAAAGAAAAACUAAUUUAAAAGUUCUGAGUACGCCUAAUUUCUUAACUUCUUUUUUUCCUCUUUUGCACUACCCCUUCUCUUUUUCUUUAUCUUUUCUUUUACAUUUGCUUCCCUUGGAUCCCACUUUACCUUAAGUAUGUUCUUUAGUAACAAUUAUUAUAAUACAAUAUUCCAUGACAUAGGAAAACAAUAAUAUAAACAUGUGACACAUGCCCUUAUAAAUUAAAUAUUUUAAUCCUAUCACUUAAUUUGUUAGGUAUCCAGUUGCCUAACAUGUAUUGAUUGAUGCACUUUCAUUAUACAUUAUAUCCAAAAAAAAAAAGUUAAAUAAAGCAAAAGUAAACACCUUGUUACCUCGAAGUUUCUCACCUUUGAACUAAGUUUUUAUCCAUUUCCCUUAUAAAUAUUCCACCAUUUUUCCCCAAACUCUUACCUUCUCCUCCUCUUCUUUUUCUUCUUCUUAUCUUCCUUUUGUUGUUGUUCUUCUUCUUCUUCUUCUUCUUUUUAUUUUUUAUAUAUUCUUUCUUUUUCCUCCCUUCUUUAUUUAGGAGAUUUCAAGAAAUAAGGCAAUGUUACGAGGUGAUAAUUAUACUUGUUUUCAUAGGAGUGGAAAUGAAAGAAGCAAAAACAAAAACAAAAACAAGAACAAGAGAAAGAUGAUGAGUUGAACAAAUGCAAAUCUUAGGCAAGUCUGAUGCUUGGCUUCAUUUUUUAUAUUCAAAACUUCGUUUGAAUUACUUCUUGUUUUUUUCUCUCUUCAAUUUCUAAGCUUUAUUUUUAUUUUCGAGGAAAAAGAAAAGCAAGACAAAGGAAAUAGAAUCCAGAGAUUAAGAAAUCUUUGGGAGUUCAAGUUAAUUUCUUUCUCUUCUUAUUCUUCUUCUUUGUUUUUUUUCUUUUGUUUUGUAUUUUGUAAGUGAUAGAAAAACCUUGUAAAACUCGCAGAGCUGUUCAAAAGUUUACAUAUUGAACAAUGUGUUCUGGCUGAUUAAAAAAAAAGAGAGAAGUUUCGUGUCCUAUCUUCCUUUUUGGUUUUCCAUCCGAACUCCGGUACCCGCGUUGGGAUCCGAUUAAAAUCUGAAUUUGCAUCAAAAAAUUUAAUAUAUUUAGGAUUCAAAAUCGAAACUUCUUCUUAAGGACAAGAAAUGAGUACUUACCCUUCCACACAACCCUUAUUAAUUUUUGUGUUCUAUCUUCAAUUUUUAGUAGUAAUUUUGAAGAUAAUUUAUGUGGGUUAAUCCCCAUGACUCUAUUCCCUUUUUUUUCAACUCUUUCCUAGGGCAAUUUAAUUGUAAUUUUACUGGCCUAAUUAAUUCAGAGUUGUGUCCCUUAAUAUCUAAGUAAAGUAAAUUAUGUGGCUCCACAACAAUAAUAAAGUAGCUCUUGAUUAUUCUGGCUUAAUUACUUUUUAAGGUUGAUGAUGCAUCUUACUAAUAAGGAAUAUGAAUAACUGCAACCUAAUGUUCUUAAGAUUUCUAGUAAUUUUUUCCCUAUAAAAUAUAGGAGUAUACUCUUGACAAUUAUGUAGGAACUGGCUAAGAAAGUCUAUAUAUGACUUAUUAUUUCAUAUUCCUUAAGCAAUGCUAUAUGUUUCAACAAAAUACUUCAUGUCGUGCGGAUCAAAUAAAAAGUAUCAAUGCAAAUGUGUUUGCGUCUCCUUAAGGCCUAAAAAUAAAAAAUAAAAAAAACUAGAAAGUAUCACUAACUUAGUGAAGAUGCAAU